rnacentral:lncRNA from 1 species
CCUUUCAACUCAUUUCAACCAAAUAAACAAAUAGGCUUAUGAUUUCCUGAAAAGCUUGGCUCGUGCCAAAAAUCAUUCUCAUACUCAGUUAUCAGGGAUACCUUGAUCGAGGGUUAUCCCAACCGAGUCUGCCAAGGCUGUUAAAUGUCUUUACAUCUGAAAUUUUAGCCAUGCCUUGGCGUUGGCUGAGUCUCACUCUCACGCGGUGGUCCACGUGAAGUGCACUCAAAUCUUUACCUCAGGAGAUACAUCAUCCAACAUCUCCUCCUGGAGGUAAAUAUAUAAUUGGGUUACCGUGCUCCUCUCAUAGACAGUCCACAGAAACCCCUACCACUGUAGUGACUAUGGAUUAUUUUAUCUACCACCUGAUUUAUAAAAUCUUUUUCUGCAUGACAUGGCAAUUUAUCGCAACCUAGCCUCUCAAGGCUGAAUACAUAGUACAAAUAAUUUUAACACAAAAAAUCAGUUUAGCCAUUCAUGCUCAUAUAUUGUCAUAAUCCAUUCAAUUUAAAACCAUAAAAUUACAACACAUCAAGUGGUCUCCAAAUACUCUAUUUUCAAAACCAUAAUUCAAUUUCAAGAUAAUUUAUAAAAUCAUUUUAUUUAAACACAUUUUACUUAUAAAACAUAAGGAUUUACCAUUUAACUCAUUUUUCCAUAAAAUCACAAAAACGAAUAAAAACUACUUUAGAUAAUUAAGACGAUAGUAAGGUUACUCACAGUUCUAGGAGUCGGUGUACUCCUAAUCCCAGUCUCCAAGCACAAUCUCUGUACUUUUACUAGUGUAAUUUACUCACCACGUAUCCACAAUGUACAAUACAUAAUUCACCACAUCAAUGCUUGACCAUUAUAAAAUCAAUUCAGGCUUGGUGUAUAUGCAUGAUAUGAUAUGCAACUUAUCCGACUACCGCUUAAAUGCGGUGCUGACCUAAUUCAGCCUAUUACCUGAUUAAAUGAUAAUUGUGUCCGAUUUGGCUCCAAAUUGCUCCAUUUCAUUUCUAAUAUUUCAAUUCACUAAAUACAAUUCCAAUAAUCUAAAAUUCAGCCUAACAACCCUCACAAUUCUUCUUAAAAAUUUCGGCCAUUGUGGUGCACUAUCACUAAAAAUUUUCUCAUUCUAUUUUCUCACCAUAAAUCAUCAUUUCAUCAAUUUUUCAACCAAUUCACUUGAUCACAAAAUUAAUUCAUUACUUCCACACUUCACAUAGGGUUCGUCCAUUGAAGGUUCAUGUGGAAAAUGGAUUCUUUUCUUGUUAUUUUGUUUCUAAACAUGCUUAACUAACUAAAAACACUAACCUAACUUAGAAUCAAAUCAAUCUAACACCAUUCUCUCUCCAUACCCAUUUUGACCAGCCAUGAAUUCACCAUGAAAGCAUGUUUUUCAACCAUGGAAAUUAAGGGAAAAUGCAUGGGUAAGGUAAAUCACUAGCAAAAUCAAAGAAAUUUUACCUUUGCUUGAUCAAAUCCUUGAAUUUAUGCCUUUUUAUAAAGAAACAAUAAAAUAAUAAAAGCAUGAUACAUGGCAUUUCCUUAUUGGUUCAAAUUUUAAAUAUUUGACUUUUAAUUCUUUAAUUCUCCACCACACAUUUCUCAUGUUUAUCCAUUUCCAUGAUGAAUAAAAUCACUUGGUCUUGACAAGUGUCAGGGGUAAAAAUUUACCGAUUUGCCCCCGGGAUGACAAAAUUACUAUUUUGCCCCUAUACUCCAAAGUAUAUCGGAAUUAAAAUUUUUCACUUCUAAACUUCAAAUCAUACUCCAAUAAGUCAAAUGGGGCCAAAAAAAUCUUUUCUAAAAUUUUUCAUUUUGUCCCCAAGUGGCAAAUGACUAUUUUGCCCCUGUAUAGUGAAAAUUCUGGUUUGACUCCAAAUUGAUCCUCAAACUCCAAAUCACCAUUUUAAAUGAUUCCUGGACUGUGAAACUCUUAAUUUCACCUUAAAAUUCCUAUUUGAACUAAUUCGAGGCUUAAUCGACUUAAUGAUACCAUUAAGGGCAAUAUCGUCUUUUAACGAUUUUCUCAAACUUCCUAAAUAUGCAACCAUUCUAUUGAGCAUGUACAUGACGUCGUAAUUAUUUUAUAGAACAGGGUUUGACAAUUAGCUUUAUGGAGACUUAUGAAACUCAUUUCAUAAUCUCCUAAUCACCUUGGCCAAGGAUUUGAUUAAGCUAAUGUCAACCAGGAACUAAUGAGAUAUUUCCCCUCGAAUCACUUGGAGUGAUGAUUCUUAUCUUGACCACUCAUUUACCUUCAUAUGCUUCAUACUAUACUAAAAAACAUCUUGUUUUGGCAUCCUUGAUUAGGCACCCAUAAGGAUGAAAUCAAAUCAUAGUACUCCACAUACAAGACAACUUGGUGUCUCAAGUCUAGGGAAUAGUUACGCAGCUAACACAUGAGAAGUAUUGCAUAGACACUUGAGUGAAAUACCAAAUGCACUUCUCAUGGUGGGUCAUGUUCAGUGAACUCGCUAUCCCAUGCAAGCACCCACAUGUUAGUUCAAAGUAUCUCUAUACUUCAACCUAUGAAAACGAUUGCUUACUUUACAAGUAAGGAACAUAACAUGUGCCAAUCUUUGAGCAUUAUUGAUGCUCUGUCUCAAUAAUACAAUGAUCUGGAACUUUUAGGAACAAUGCUUUAAUGCAUAAGGAUCUCAUAAUUGUAUCCCAAUACAAUUCCUUUGCAAGGCAUAUAUAGUUCCAUGAGCUUUAUCUACAUAAGUACAAAAAGUAAUUAAAUUACAAACUUAUGGAUAAAGAACUACCUCAAUGUUAUUAUGAAUAAAAAAAUGUCAUACAUGAUUAUCUCACAAUUGUAGUUCCCAAACAACCACAGAUUGGCUUGAAAGGCUUUUACUAACAAUCUCCCAAUAGCACUAAAGCCAAUUGCCUAUGUAUCUAAUACCAAUGUUCUCAACAUGACACUUAUGCCUCUGCUGGGACAGUGCUUUAGUGAGAGGAUCAGCAAUAUUAUCCUCAGUGGGUAUACACUCUAUGUAAAUGUCUCUUUUUCCAAUGAUCUCCCUGAUCACAUGGUAAUGCCGCAAUACAUGUUUGGAUUUCUGAUGAGACCUUGGUUCCUUUGCUUGUGCAAUAGCUCCAUUGUUACUACAAUAUAAAGGUAUUGGAUCAACAAUGCUAGGAACCACAUCUAGUUCAGUAAUGAACUUCUUAAUCCAAACUGCCUCUUUUGCUACCUUAGACGUAGAGAUGUAUUCGACCUCGGUUGUAGAAUCUGCAGUCGUCUCUUGUUUGGAACUUUUCUAACUCACUGUACCUCCAUUGAGUGUGAAUACAUAUCAACUUUGCAACUUUCUAUCAUAUUUGUUAGUUUGAAAGCUUGCAUCCGUAUAACCCUUAACUUGGAGUUUACCUCCUCCAUAAACCAGAAAUACAUCCUUAGUUCUUCGUAAAUACUUCAAGAUGUUUUUCACAACUAUCUAGAAACUUUCACUAGGAUUAGCUUGGUAUCUACUCGUGACACUUAGAGUGUAAGAUACAUCUGGUCUAGUGCAAAGCAUUGCAUACAUGAUAGAUCCUACUGUUGAAGCAUAUGGGAUCUUAUCCAUGCGAUUUCUCUCUUCUUGAUUCUUUGGACACGUGUCCUUGGAGAGAUAGAUGCCUUGUGACAUAGGCAAGUGUCCCUUUUCGGACUCCAUCAUGUUAAACCUCUUUAGCACCUUGUCUAUGUAUGUGGAUUGGGAAAGACCUAACAACCUUUUAAAUCUAUCUCUAUAGAUCUUUAUUCCUAGAAUAUAAGUUGCUUCUCCCAAAUCCUUCAUGGAGAAUUGUUUGGACAGCCAAAUCUUUGUUUAUUGUAGCAAUGGUAUAUCAUUUCCUAUGAGCAAUACGUCAUCAACAUAUAACACUAGGAAAAUUAUGGCACUCCCACUAACCUUUUUAUAGACACAUGGUUCAUCCUCAUUUUUGAUGAAGUCAAACCCUUUUACAGCUUCAUCAAAACGGAUGUUCCAACUCCGAGAAGCUUGCUUAAGUCCAUAAAUGGACUUUUGAAGCUUGCACACCUUAUUAGCAUUAGCAUUGGAUAUAAAACCUUCAGGUUGUGUCAUGUACACUGCCUCUCGCAAGUUUCCAUUAAGGAAUGCAGUUUUUACAUCCAUUUGCCAUAUUUCAUAAUCAUGAUAUGUCACGACCCGGAACCUCCCUCGGGCACAUGACAACCGUCGCGACGUCCCGAUUGACACUCAUUGCCCGAAAUGCCAAUCGAAACCCCGCAAGGCUUACAUAUCAGUUUCUUGCCUUUUCUGUGAGCAAUCGUUUUUAAACAUUCCGUUUUAAAUAAUUACCAGUCGUUUCCGGCUCAAGUAAAUCAAAAGACAAAAAUAUAGCAUUUUUAUAUAAAACAAUAUUUAUAGAAACAUGUGUAAGUAAAAUAAAUUCAUGCAUACAAUAAUUUACAAAGUUAUAAUGUACAAUAAUAAUUACAAUGACAAGUGGUCCCUAAAUACACCAAGUGUUGGUGAUAGUAACCUAUUGUUUGUGAGAUAGAGAGGUCAACUGGAAUCCUCGACAAAAUCGGUAUCUACAAGCUACCACAAGCCUACAAUAUUUGGAAAGGAGGUGGGUGAGAUUUCGCAAUCCCAAUGAGUAAACAGACAUUAUCAUAAAUAUCUAAAGGUGAGUAACAAGGAGGCAAGUUUAAACAACAAAUUACAAACCAUUUCAUAAGGUUUUCAAUUUAUUUCUUAAACCAUAAAAUAUUUGUAAUUUAUCAAAACAGUUGUUAAGGCUUCUGACUUUUAUUAAAAAACAAGGCUCAAGCCAAAACUAAUCCUCCGGGAUACCUUGGCCGAGGCAUCUAACCGAGUCCGCCAAGGUUGUUAAGAUAUUUACAUGUGAAACACAUUUUUAUUUUAAAACAAGUCGUUCCUUGGCGUUGGCCGAGUUACACAUUCAAGUGGGGUUCGACGUGAAGUGAACUCGAACACUACCCCAGGAGUUACCCUCCUCGCCUCUACUAUCGGAGUAACUAUAUAACCAAGUUUACCGUGCCCCUCUAAUAGGCAGUCCACGGAAACCCGUCACUGCAGUGACUAAACCCACCCAUUUUAAUAAAAUUUCGACAGUAUAACGUGACUUUUAUUUAUUUACCCAACUUGCAUAGUAAAAACAGCUUACAUAAAUUUCCAAUGCAAUUUAUCAAAUAUAGCCACAUAUACUCAUAUUUCACAAGCCAUUCGUAGGAAAAUAUAUAUUUCAAAAUAAUUGGCAGCCUCCAAUUACUCAAUUUCAUAAUCAACACAAUAUAUUUUUAUUUGUCACAUUUAUUUCUAAAACAUCAAAAAUCCCAUUUUAAUCUCAUUUUCAUUACAUAAAAUCCAUAAAGAUCAUUUAAAAAUAAACUCUAGAUAAUUUACAAUAAUAAUAGGUUUACUCACCGUUUGUACAAACUAAUUGCUUUUUAUGUGCCCCGAUCACUGUUCAUCGGGUACGACUUCUUUGCCUUUACCGGAAGGCUCUCCUCCUAAACACAUUGCAAAAUUUACCCAAUUCACCACAUUGAUGCUAAAUCACUAUAUAAUUGACUUAAAUCCUAUACUAAUGUAUGGUAUGAAAUGCAAUAGCCUAAAACGGCUUAAACGCGAUAUUAACCUAUUUUUUGCACUUUACCAGUUAAAUUGCUAACGUGCUCCAUUUUAGCUCUAAAUUUUCCCAUUUUCUCUCCAACAUUUCUAACCAUUAAAUAUCAGCCAAUAACCUUCUAAAAUCACCAAAAUCAGCUCACUUUCCUCCUUGGAAAAUUCGGUCAAAAAUGGGACAUUUACUCGGUUAAUUUUCCACUUUGUUUUUCUAUCACAUUUAACCAUUUUUCAUCAUUUUCUCUUCAUCUCUCUUAGAAUAAAAAUCAGUUCAUCAUCAUUGUACAUCAUUGAACAUUCAGCCAAGGGUGGGUAUUGUGAAAAUUUCAUGCUUUCUUCCAAUUUGAUUUCUAUACACAUUUAACUAACUAAAAAUAUCAAUUUAACUAAAAAUCAAAACAUAAAAAUUUCAAAUUCCUCCCCCUUGAAUUUCAUCCAGCCCUUGAUAUCAUUUUUUGAUCUCUCUCUUCAAGCAUGCUAAAUGGAAAAAAAGGCAUAAGAAAGGUAGAAAUCAAGCUAAAGUAAAAAAAUCUUACCGUUAGACGCGUAAACGGUCGAAAAACGUGAUUUUUCCUUUGAAUUUUUUAGUUUUCCUUUGUUUUUCUCUUUUCUUCCUUUCCUCUCUAUUUUCUCUCUUGUUCUUUCCUUAUGGCCGGCCAGCACUUAAUAUGGGGUUUAAAUGGGCUGACUUUUCAUUAAAAUAAUAUUAAAUCAUUAAGAAGUGCCAUGUGUCACUUUCCCAUUGGCUCGUUUUUAAAAUUUCAUCCAUUUGUUUUCAAAUUUUCACCAUACACUUGUCCCAAAUAUCCAUAGCUUAGAUAAAAUUCUCAGACUUAUCCAAAGUCUUGGUGGAGUAAUUUUUGAAAUUUACACUUUUACCCCCGUAAAAGUGAAAAAUUACAUUUUUGCCCAAAAAACUGAAAAAUUGCCCAUAGACAUAUUUUUCAUCCCUUAUACUCAUACCAUUCCCCAAUUUGUCAAAUUUGAUCUAAAUUAUCUCAAAAUCUCAAAUUUUGUCUGCGGGUGGUAAAAUUACGAUUUUGUCCCUAAACAUCAAAAUUUCCAAUUUUACCCCAAAUGAACCCUCGAACUCUGAACAAUCAUUUUUAGUCAUUCCUGGACUGUAAAAUAUUAAAUUUCAUCCUAUGAUUCCUAUUUGAACUAGUUCGAGGUUAAAUCAACUCAAGUGUACCGUUAGGUACAAUACCGAGUUUUGUCUAUUCUUAGUACUUUCCUAGCAUAAUAACAUGCUACUCAGUGCAUGUAUGUCAUGACAUGUGUUUAUAGGGUCGGGUUUUACAUGGUAUGCAACAAUUGCAAGCAAAAUCCUAAUAGAUUUAAGCAUAGCAACUGGUGAAAAGGUUUCUUCAAAGUUAAUAACUUGUCUUUGUUUGUAACCUUUUGCUACCAGUUUAGCUUUAAAGGUUUGCACCUUGCCAUUUACAUCGGUCUUUCUCUUAAAGACCCACUUGCAUUCAAUGUGUUUUAUCCCUUUAGGUGGAUCCACCGAAGUCCAUACUUGGUUGGUAUCCAUGGCAUCCAUUUCAGAUUUCAUGGCUUCUAGCCAUUUCUCAGAAUCGAUGUCCAACAUCACCUCCUCAUAGGUUGUAGGCUCAUCAUUUAUGGGCAAUGCGUCCCUUUCCAAGAGAAAUCCAUAUCUUUUUGGAGCUUGAUGUAUUUUGCUAGACCCUUUGAGUGGUUGUGCCUCUUGAGAUUGUGGUUGUACAUCAGAUGUCACAAUUUCAAGCUCAAGUUCCAAUGGAAUGUCAAUUUGUGGGUCUUGAACUUUUUCAAGUACAACUUUACUCCCACUAGCCCUUUCAUUUAAAAACUCUUUCUCAAGGAAAGUGGCAUGCCUUGAGACAAACACCUUUUGCUCAAUGGGAUUAUAAAAAUAAUAUUUGUGUAUUUCUUUAGGAUAUCCCAGAAAUUUACAUUUGUCUGAUCUCGCUUUUAGCUUAUCAGACAUUGUAUGCCUCACAUAAGCAGUACAUCCUCAAAUCCUAGCAUAAGACAAGUUGGGCCUUUUCCUACUCCAUAUAUUAUAUGGUGUUUUAUCAACUGAUUUGGUAGGAACCUGGUUCAGUAUGUGAGCAGCAGUUUCUAAGGCAUAUCCCUAGAAAGAUAUAGGAAGAUCUACAUGACUCAUCAUGGAUCAAACCAUGUCCAAUAAUGUUCGAUUCCUUCUCUCAGGCACCCCAUUGUGCUGUGGAGUCCUUGAACGAGUCCAUUGUGCGAGAAUCCCAUUCUCUUUCAAAUAAUCCUGAAACUCUUGGCUAAGAUAUUCUCCUCCUUGAUUAGAUCUAAGAGUGAGAAUACUCUUUCCAGUUUGUUUCUCAACCUUUGCUCUGUAUUCUUUGAACUUGUUAAAGGAUUCAGAUUUAUAUUUCAUCAAAUAUACAUAACCAUAGUGAGAAUGGUCAUAUGUGAAGGUGAUGACGUAUGAGUAUCCUCCUCUAGCACUAGUAUUCAUAGGACCACAUACAUCCGAAUGUACAAGUCCUAGUAACACCUUAGCUCAUUCACCCUUCUUGGUGAAAGGCGACUUGGUCAUCUUACUAAGGAGACAACACUCACAUGUUCCAUAAGAUUCAUAAUUAAAUGGAUCGAUAUAACCUUGUUUGUGUAACUUGGUUAAGCGAGUCUCAUCGAUGUGUCCAAGCCUACAGUGCCAGAUGUAGGAUAGUUUUGGAUCAUCUUUCUUUGCUUUCUUAACCUCUAUAUUGAGUAUGAGUCUCUUGGGAUCAAGAAUAUAGAGACCGUUCGAAUGUGUCCCUGCACCAUAAUGUAUCUCUUCCUUUGAGAAAGAACAAUAAUUGCCCUUAAUGCAAAAUUCAAUAUCAUCAUAUAAUGCCAAGUAUGACAUAGAUAUGAUAUUUCGAGAUAUGGAAAGAACAUAGUAGCAGUCUCUUAAUUCCAAGAUCAACCUAGAAGGUCAAGGUAUAGUAACUGUCCCCAUAGCUGAUGCAGCAACCUUUGCUCCAUUUCCUACUUUUAGGACCACCUCUCCCUUCGUUAAUCUUCUACUCAUUUCCAGCACCUUCAUGUCAUUACAUAAGUGUGACCUACAUCCAGUAUCUAAUACCCAUGAUGAUGGAUCAAUAAUAAAUGGAUUUACUUCAAUCUUAUACAUGGUCAAAGGUGAAACUUCUACAAGUUUCUCAUUCUUUGACCUUGUCAAGAAGGCAAUGAUAUCUUGCUUAAUGACAUCUAUUCUAAAUAGAUAUUUGAGAACAUUUCUCAACUUGAUAUACCAGUCUAAACAUUUUGGCCCGAAUUUCAUGAUGACAUCAAGUAUGCCGUGCAAAGUAAUAUCACCUUGAGAGAUCUCUACAAGGAUUCUCUUAGUGGGCUAGGAUCCUUAUCCAUUCUAAUCAUGACCUUGAGUGUACUCUGUCAUGACUCAAAUUCCAAGCCAUGAUCGACGCAUGGGCCCAAUGGACGUAGCCCACUAAGCCCAACAAGCCUCUUUACGUAAUCUCGUUCAUUAUCCCAUCAAUUUUUCAUCACCAUUACUAUACCAGUAUUUGUAAUUUGCAACUAGACGUAUUUUCAUAAUACAACAUAGAUACCAAAAAUUUACAUUUUUUUUAUGAUCUCAAAAUAAGGUUAUUCAUAGCCAUCUCAUAAUGGCACCAUCAUUCUAAACUAUACAUGCUUCGUUAGCAAAGUGAUUCCUAGCAAUUUACAUUUAAUGUACAUGUACUCAUAUAAAAGACUUCUGACGACCAGUUGAGUGACUUUAGUGAGGGUACGACUAUCGAAUGCCAUGAUACCUACCAAGAGUGAAUGCAAGUGGACGCCUUAGUCUCGGUCUCAACUAUCUACAAAUAUGAAAACAUGUAAUUUAAAAGAGUGAGUAUAAACUCAGUGAGUGAACAUAAGAAGGGAACAAGCAAUGAUAAGGAUUGUUUUAGAAAACAUGAUGCACUUACGAUAAACCAUGCAAUUUAGUCUAAUUUUUUGGUUAAAACCCCUCAUUUCAAACUUUGAAUGUUUAAUCCCUUAAUGUUACAAAAUCCAUGAUGAACCAUAAAGUUGAAUAGAAUGAAAAUUUUAGCAAUAACAAAGCAAGACAAACAAAUAGAGGGUUUUCUUGCUACAGCGAAAAGGCAUUCUUGGUUUGUAUAUGCUUUGGUUUUUCAAGCAUAUCUCAUACUAAAGAAGUCCAAUUGACAUGAUUUUUAAGUCAUUAAAAGGCUAAGAGGCUGGGCUACAAUGUUGAUGUUUACCACACUUUGCUCAGUUCUGAUCGAAAGGUAGUCAAAAUCUUUGUCAAAGUGAAAACACUGCACCAGAAUUUUGGAACCACCCGAGAGUUUCUCGUUGCAGCGAGAAUUAAUCUCGCUGCAGUGAGAAGCUUUAGGAAAUUUCUCACUGUAGCGAGAAUACAUUCUCGCUGCAACGAGAACCAGGCCAGUGUAACGCCUCCAACUCGAGAGUUUCUUGCUGCAGCGAGAAACAGAACAAUUAGUUAAAAGGGCUAUUGUUACAUCAAAAAGCCAUUUUCUUGCUAAAAUGAAAAGCAAUUUGGGAGCAAUUAACAAUGCCAACAUACAACACAAUCACAAUUAUUUUCAUAAACUUUCUAUAAUAUAUAUAUAUAUACAUACAUCAUCAUGCAUACCAUCCCGCCACACUCAGCUCAUGUGCACUUCCUACACGCACAAUGCAAUAUCAUCAUCAUCAGCUCAUGUGCACUCCCACACUGCACAUAGCUGGGUCAUCAUCAGCUCAUGUACACUCCUAGACCGCACAUAGCUAGGUCAUCAUUAUCACAUAAAAGAAGUAUCCAAAGCAUAAUAUAUAUAUCAAUAUAAAGUGAGAACGCAUGAACUAUUCAUAUUGCACAUUUCACAAGAUAGAAACAUUUCAUCAGGGGCUUGUUCCCUAAGUAUAUUUUUAAAGCAAAAACAAAUUAAACUUUCAAAUGAUUUAUUUAAACAUGUAGGCACUUCCCAAAAUAUUUUGAAAUGCAAGUUCACUCACUGGUAUUUGUUAAAUCUUUACCCAACUCCAACUUCCUCUAAUGAUCCAAAUGGAGCGGUGGGGCUUCGUUGGAACCUAUCAUCACAUUAGCAUCAUAAUUAACUUAAUUCACAUAACUAUAAAUUCUAAAAGCUAUCUCCUAACUAGCUUCCAAUUGCCAUUAAGUGGCUAUCUAUUUUCAUUAUCCUAAUCACUCUAAAAUGAAUAAACAACCUCAACUACAAAACACUCACAAGUCUAAUCACUAGCCAUUCUCAACACUUCAAAAUCAACUUUACUUCACUACUCACCUUGGUAGCUUUAUAAUUAAAUCCCUUUCUAAGAGUUUUCAAGUUAUUGUAGAAGCUCUCUCUUUCUCUCUCUAAAACACCUAGCUAGUGAGAGAAAGUAUAGGAGUAAGACUUUUGAGGGUUUUUUAAGGUGAAUGAGUAAAAGAGUAUGAAAAGCCCUAUAACAAGGUGUGUAAAAGCAUGAAAUUUGAGGUUAACUUGAGAGGGUGAUGGAAGCUUUGAGAGAAGCUUUCAUGCAGGAUGAAAGAAACGUGAAUUGGGAUGAGAAGAAGAAGAAGCUGCUGGAGAAAUGAAGAAGUUGCUUGAAAAAUGAUAUUUUUAGCUAAAGCUUAUCCAAACUCUACUUAAAUUAUAAAAAUGCCCUUAACAAGUUGGCUUGUUCUCCUCCAAUCCUUUAUGUAAUCUUUUUACUCUUUUGACACUGGGACAAAGUCCAUAAUAGUCUAGAAAUACUCAGGUUCACAAAAACUUAAAAUUUUGACUCGAGAUGAAAAAUGACCAUUUUACCCUUAUCAUGGAAAUCAUCAUUAUUUCUAUUUCCUUCGUCAUUUUAUCCUUAUUUCAUCAUUCAUUUAUGCCUUAGGCCUACUUAGGCCUUAAUAUUGUUUGAAAGCAUACUUCUAGGGGCUCAUUAAGAAAAUGAUGAAAUUACCCUUAGUUUGUGAUAUUGCGUCUGGUUCUAGCUACGAGUCUUUAAAGAUCAAGGUCUCACAUGCUCAACAAGCCAUGAUAGUUGGAUUAGGUAGGUAACUGAGCUUACCAAUUGUAUCUCUAUACAACUCCUAGAUCAGCUAGGUGACAACAUGUCAAGCCCUACUCUAUUAUAUACUUGUCAUGUCAUUCAUGUACUUGAUAGCAUAUCUGCAUACUUGGAUGCCUCGAAAAAUCGUUAAAAAGUCGAUAUCGUACCUAGUGGUACAAUUAAAUCGAUUAAAACCUCGAACUAGUUUGAAUAGAGAUUUUAGGAUGUAUUUGAGAGUUAUUGAACCUUAGAAUGUCUUAAUAUGGUGAUUCGGAGUUCGAGGAUUAAUUUGGAGUCAAAUUAGGAAUUUUCAUAACGUAGGGGUAAAGUGGUCAUUUUGCCAUCAGAGGGCAAAAUUGAAAUGUUGGAUGAAAUUUUUGACCAAGUUUGACUAAUUGGAGCAUAUUUGAAUUUGAGAAAUGAAAAAUUUUAAUUCUGACAUUUUUCCGAACAUAAGGACAAAACAGUCAUUUUACGUGUCCACGAGGACGUAAUUGGAAUUUUUGGAAUUUUACACCACUAUAACACUUGGCAAGCCCAUGAAUUUCACCUAUUAUUAUUUUAUACUUUGGAUAGUUAAGAGAUUACAUAUGGUGGUGAGAAAAUGCUUAAUUGUUAAGUUUUAACCAUGGACCAAUCACAUGGUGACACAUGUCAAGUUCUAAUAUUUUUAUAAUUUCCUUUAUAAACUCUCCCAUUUCACUUUUCAUGGCCGGACAAAGGAAAGAACAAAGAGAAAAGAAUAGAAACAAACCCUAGAGAGGAAAAUUCAAGAGAAAUUUGUUGAAUUUCAAAGAACAAAGCUUUCAAAGGUAAGAUUUUUCAAUUUUAGCUUAAGAUCUACCUUUCCCAUGCUUUCUUUUUCACUUUCAAUGGAGGAAACACAAGUUUCCACGAGGGAAUACUUGCUGGCCGAACAUAGGGAGAGAGGUUUUGAUGGUGGAUUUUGCUAGAUUUCAUGAUAUCUUAGUGUUUUUAGUUGUUUGAUGAUGUUUGGCAUGAAAAACAAGCAAGAAAAUCACAUGCCCUUCAACAACCCUCUUUGGCCGAAUGUUAUAGGUGACAUGUUGAUGAUGGAUUUUGUUGUAUUUCAUGUUAUUUAGCUCGUAAUUGAUGAUUUAUGGUAUCAGAUAUCGAAAACGGCUAUCGAAAAGUAUAGUUCCUUUAGUAAAUGACUUGAACAAUAAUGAGAAAAUCAUAGUGAAUGGACUUGGAUUUGAUUCCUAAUGAUGUAGAUGGAUUUAUUGGAAUGUGUUAACACUGAUUAUCACGUUAGUUAGAAAUCAGAAUGAAUUUCGGUUAUGAUGAAUUAAGUCACAAUCAAGCUCAUUGAGGUACUUUGGUGUAUUUGGAAUAUUGGAAGUAUAAUGAAUAUAUUUGAAGUUGAAUAAGAUGUUUUGGUUAAUUCAAUAGUGUAUAGUUCGAGUUAGGUCGAAUACAAAUUCAGUCCGAUCAUAAUUGAACCCACGUAGGACAUCGUCUUUAAGUGAUUAUUCGAACAGUUCUCAUCCAAUUUCAUGCAUUCAUAUAGAGCCUGAAAUAGUUUUAUAACAGUUUGGCAUAAAUAUAUUGAAUUACGUGUCGUGUAUUAUGUAUAGGCGGUGAGCCCUCUGAUAAGGGUAAAUAUAUCAUACCCGAGGACCAAAAAUAGAAGUACUCCAAACUCCCGCUAUUGUGAGUAAUCAGACGAUCAUCUUAACUAUCUAAAGUAGUUUAUAUUCGUUUCUAUGAUUUUAAAGAAUAAUGAACUUAAACUGUAGAUUUUUAUGUUUUAUAAGUUAAGUGAUGGUUAAAUGAAUGAGAUUUAUAAAUUGUUUUGCAAUUCAAUGAUGAUUUUGGAAAUUGAGCAAGUGGAGACUAUAUACUUGUGUUAUCUAUAUAUAUAUAUAUAUGGUUUGAAUUGAUGGCUUAGGACAAUGUGAUGGCAUGAAUAGUUGGAUUUGUGGUUUGUGGAUUAUAUGAACUGUUUUGUUUUACCUUGACAAGCUGGGUAAUAUCAUAUUAGCCACGUCAUGCUGUUGAAAUUUUUAUUGAUUUGGUGGGUUAUUUGAUUAGCUUACUACAGUGGGCGGGUUUUCGUGGAUCAGCCUAUUAGAAGGGUACGAUAAACCCCAUUAUAUUUUACCUUAGUACGAGAGGCACGGAGGGUAUCUCCUAAGGUAAGUUUAGAGUUCACUUCAUGCCGAACCACCACGUGAGGGUAAAACUCAGCCAACGUCAAGGAACGGCUACGUUUUUAAAUGUAAAAACAUGUUUAUGAAUAUAUGUUAUUUUAACAGCCUUGACGGACUCAGUUGGAUGCCCGGGUCAAGGUGUCCCCGAGUAUGAGUUUUGGCACAAGCUAAGUUUUUAAGAGAAUCAUAAGCCUUGUUGAUUAUUUUGAUGAAAUGAGUUUUAAAUGUUAUGAAUCAUAUUAUGAUGGGAUGAUUUAACUGUCUCCAUUUACUCGGCUUUAGAUGUUAUAGAUGAACUUUGCUUACUCACUGGGUUUAUAAAAACUCAUCCUCUUCUUUUUACCUAUUUUAAGCUCAAGACAGUCUGUAGACAAUCAAUUUUGUUGAGGGUUGCUUUUGGAUUGUAUCCUUAGAAAUCGAAGGUCUACAGUUUUGUAUAUUUUCGGUUAUAUUGGGCCCCACAUGUCAUUGUAGAAUAUUUUUGUAUACCUAGUUUAGUGUGCUAUUAUAUAUAUGAAUUUAUUUUACUCUUACACUACAAAUAUUGUUUAUGCAGGAUUCUAUAAAUAUUGUUUUGUAAGAAAAUGGAAUAUUUUAUUUAAUAUUUUUAUUUAGUUUGAUUAGUCAUAAUUUCAUUUUAAAUGGAUGAUUUAGAUUACUAAAAUUAUUUUAAAAUAAGAAAUGUAUAUUUUUUAAUCGUAUGCUGUAUUUUCACCAGGUUUCAAAAUUUUUUUUAAAAAAUGACCAAAAUACCCUUGUGUGGCAGAAAUUACUUUUUAUUUGUUUUUGAUUUAAAAAUAGUUUAUAUUCCCUUAAAACAUGAUAUUUAGUAACUGUUGCUCACAAGGGAGACGUAAAAUUGAUGCAAGAGCCUUGCAAGGUUUCGGUUGACAUUUCGGGUAAUGAAUGUCUAUCGAGAUAUCGCGACGGUUGUCACGAGCUCGAAGGGAGUACCGGGUCGUGACACAAUACAUUGUCUAAACAUAUCAUAUAUGUUUUGCCUAUCCAUUGCCUCUAUUUUCCAUAAUAAUCAAGUUUUUAAGCAUCCAAAUUUUAUGAAACUAGUUGAGUAAGACCCAUCAAUAGCUUAAACAUACUCGUGUAAAAGUGUGACCUUGAGUGUGCUCAACAAGUCUCCGAUUAAAAGAGUAGCCAGGUUAUCUUGCUAUAUGGUGAAAGGCAACUUAAUCAUACGUGGCAUGUGACUCAAUAUUUACCGAGGGAUUUUCUUAUUUUUAACUUAGUUAAGGUCUCAUCUUUGCAUGCAUAGCAUUUAUUAAUUGCAUAAAUAAAUCUAUCUCAUGCAUACUACUUUGGAUGAUUAUGGACUUUAUCUAUACUAAUUUCCUUGAGCCAUCGAAGGAAAUUAGCUUGGUCAAACCUAGGGGAUAACAUACAAUAUAUUGUAAUCUUCCUCCUUGUAACUUCAUGGCGCCUUUAGGUCUUCAUCUUCGAAUUGUAAAAUAACUCCUAAACUAAUCCUAAUUCUACACUUAUAUGUAACUAAUUACAUUUUAGUAAAGAAACCUCGUGGUACAUCCGAGGGGAGUUAGGUGAGAAAAGAAUUUUACAAUCCCUGAAAAUCAAGAGAAAGGCAGUGUGCGCAGACCCUAUUUAAUAAAUAAAUACCAUGAUACAAUUUAACCAUACAUCCAUAAUCAUAUUGGGCCUAGUCCAUAAUCAUCCAUAUUCAUCCAUCCACAUGAACAUAAAAUUAAAACUAUGUCUUAUUCUAACUGUUAAUCAUAUGAGGCAUUCGAAAUUAGUGUAUAACUAAUUUCGAGUUCAUUUUUUAAUUCCAUGUAUGGAAACAGUUUUCCAUAUAUGGAAAGUCUUUACUAAUUAGUAUUAGUAAUAUUAUCUAUUCCUAAUCUCAUUAGGAUUAGAAUUAAAAUAUUAUUACAAAUUAAAACAUUUUUAAUUUGUAAUCUUUAAACGCUUUAAGUAACUUUUACUACGCCUUUUAAAUUAAAGAUUAUGUGUCUUCAAUUAUCUAAUCUCAUUAGAUAAUUUAAAUAUAAUAUUUAAGACAACAUUAUCUUUAAUUAUAUUUAAGUGUCCUAUUCNNNNNNNNNNNNNNNNNNNNNNNNNNNNNNNNNNNNNNNNNNNNNNNNNNNNNNNNNNNNNNNNNNNNNNNNNNNNNNNNNNNNNNNNNNNNNNNNNNNNNNNNNNNNNNNNNNNNNNNNNNNNNNNNNNNNNNNNNNNNNNNNNNNNNNNNNNNNNNNNNNNNNNNNNNNNNNNNNNNNNNNNNNNNNNNNNNNNNNNNNNNNNNNNNNNNNNNNNNNNNNNNNNNNNNNNNNNNNNNNNNNNNNNNNNNNNNNNNNNNNNNNNNNNNNNNNNNNNNNNNNNNNNNNNNNNNNNNNNNNNNNNNNNNNNNNNNNNNNNNNNNNNNNNNNNNNNNNNNNNNNNNNNNNNNNNNNNNNNNNNNNNNNNNNNNNNNNNNNNNNNNNNNNNNNNNNNNNNNNNNNNNNNNNNNNNNNNNNNNNNNNNNNNNNNNNNNNNNNNNNNNNNNNNNNNNNNNNNNNNNNNNNNNNNNNNNNNNNNNNNNNNNNNNNNNNNNNNNNNNNNNNNNNNNNNNNNNNNNNNNNNNNNNNNNNNNNNNNNNNNNNNNNNNNNNNNNNNNNNNNNNNNNNNNNNNNNNNNNNNNNNNNNNNNNNNNNNNNNNNNNNNNNNNNNNNNNNNNNNNNNNNNNNNNNNNNNNNNNNNNNNNNNNNNNNNNNNNNNNNNNNNNNNNNNNNNNNNNNNNNNNNNNNNNNNNNNNNNNNNNNNNNNNNNNNNNNNNNNNNNNNNNNNNNNNNNNNNNNNNNNNNNNNNNNNNNNNNNNNNNNNNNNNNNNNNNNNNNNNNNNNNNNNNNNNNNNNNNNNNNNNNNNNNNNNNNNNNNNNNNNNNNNNNNNNNNNNNNNNNNNNNNNNNNNNNNNNNNNNNNNNNNNNNNNNNNNNNNNNNNNNNNNNNNNNNNNNNNNNNNNNNNNNNNNNNNNNNNNNNNNNNNNNNNNNNNNNNNNNNNNNNNNNNNNNNNNNNNNNNNNNNNNNNNNNNNNNNNNNNNNNNNNNNNNNNNNNNNNNNNNNNNNNNNNNNNNNNNNNNNNNNNNNNNNNNNNNNNNNNNNNNNNNNNNNNNNNNNNNNNNNNNNNNNNNNNNNNNNNNNNNNNNNNNNNNNNNNNNNNNNNNNNNNNNNNNNNNNNNNNNNNNNNNNNNNNNNNNNNNNNNNNNNNNNNNNNNNNNNNNNNNNNNNNNNNNNNNNNNNNNNNNNNNNNNNNNNNNNNNNNNNNNNNNNNNNNNNNNNNNNNNNNNNNNNNNNNNNNNNNNNNNNNNNNNNNNNNNNNNNNNNNNNNNNNNNNNNNNNNNNNNNNNNNNNNNNNNNNNNNNNNNNNNNNNNNNNNNNNNNNNNNNNNNNNNNNNNNNNNNNNNNNNNNNNNNNNNNNNNNNNNNNNNNNNNNNNNNNNNNNNNNNNNNNNNNNNNNNNNNNNNNNNNNNNNNNNNNNNNNNNNNNNNNNNNNNNNNNNNNNNNNNNNNNNNNNNNNNNNNNNNNNNNNNNNNNNNNNNNNNNNNNNNNNNNNNNNNNNNNNNNNNNNNNNNNNNNNNNNNNNNNNNNNNNNNNNNNNNNNNNNNNNNNNNNNNNNNNNNNNNNNNNNNNNNNNNNNNNNNNNNNNNNNNNNNNNNNNNNNNNNNNNNNNNNNNNNNNNNNNNNNNNNNNNNNNNNNNNNNNNNNNNNNNNNNNNNNNNNNNNNUAGUUAAAACCUAGAAUUUGAUUUAAGUCUAACUUAAAUCAUCACACUCUCAAUUUAAUCCAAAUUGCAACCUUUGUGUGUGACCCAUUAGGUUCCUAACAUGUUGGCAAUGGAAUUGAAUUAUAAUAUUAUUAAUUAAUUAAUUUAAAUGAAUCAUAUUCAAUUUUAAAUUAACUAAUUCAAUUCCAUAGACCAUGAUUGGCAUCUAGCAAUGCAUCAUGGCCACCCAAUUGUUAGGAGAGUCAAAGGAUUCUUUGACAACCUUUCAGUAUACAGUUUUUCAGUAUAAUUCAUUCUUUCAUUAUAUAUCCCGAAGAUGAUAAGAGCUUGGUGCAGUGUCUACUCUUAUUGAUCUCCAUAUUUGUUCUUGCAGUUAGAUCAUUAGCUUUAUGGAGACUUAUGAAACUCAUUUCAUAAUCUCCUAAUCACCUUGGCCAAGGAUUUUUUUUUUAUGCUGGAAAUUCACGUAGGGCCCAGCUACCUUGUUAAAUUUUAUUAAUUACGAAAUAAAAAGUACAAAGGAUGGGGACCUAAACCGUACCUCCAAAUUACAUGAUCAUAAGAAAGUUUCGAAGAAGCACCUAGAGUAAGGAACACCAUUUUACGUGCAUAACUUUUGAUGCUAUAGUAAAACAGAUAUUCCUUACUAUUACAUUGAGACAAUAAACUAAAAUAAAAUUUAAAACAGGAAAUGAAAAUAAGAAAAGCACCUAGAGUGGAGUGUUUCAUUUUAUGACCAUAUUUUUUACUAUCGUCAUAAAAUUAAAACACUUCCAUAUUACAAAAAUCUAUGUGUAUAACAAAAAAAGAAAAAUAAAUUAGGAGUACUACUCCUUUACAUUCAUUUGAAGCGAACAUAAGGUAAACUAACUUUAUCUAAUCUAAGAAUACCUUUAAGCUGACCUUCUACUUGUGAAAAUACCUACAAGUUCUGGUGCGUAUGCCUUUGAUUUGAGAGAUGGUUUGCUGCCUGGUUUCCUUCUCUAUAGAUGUGUGAAAUCCGAAAAGAGAUACCAUUCAAGGAUCUACGAAUGGAAGCAAUUAGAUACUGAGUCUUAGAGGAUCCUUGAUGACCCUCAUUUAUCAUGUGUACCACUACUUUUGCAUCGAUUUCUAUCUAAAGUCUAGUAACAUUGUACUCAAUACACAAAAGUAAGCCCUUGUGUAGUGCCAUUAACUUUGCCUGUAAUGAAUCACACGGUCCAAAAUUUUUAGAAAAUCCAAAAAUCAUGGUACCUGUAUGAUCUCGAAGAAGUCCUCCUUCAGUAGCAUUCUGAAAAUUAUGCUUGGAACUCCCAUCAACAUUCAACUUAAACUCACCUGUUGAUGGUUUAUUCCAAGAGAAUAUUUUUGGUGGAUGUGGGGCUGCUUGCUAAAAUAUUAGACCCUAUGCCUGAGCAAUCUAUAGAUCUCCCUUCCAUUACCACCGGUGGAAUUACCUCCCAUGAAAUAAUUGGUGGAUAAGUUUGAGUACUCUCCACACCACUCUGUUAGGAUACAUACCAAGGUUCCUAUGUUUUGCAUCAUUCCUUUCAACCCAUAAGAACCAAAAAAUAAAUAAAGGGAUUAACAUGCGUAUGUGUCCUUUUUUCGUAUAAUCACUAGAGAACCACCAUGCCCAUAUAAUCUGAUAAACAUUCUGGGGAUGAGUUAUGUUGAUUUGGAAAAAUUUUGUAAAAUAAUUCCAAACUUGUGUAGCAAUUGGGCAUUCCCACAUGACAUGCAAGAGAGACUCUUCUGAAUUGUAAUGUUGGCAUUUAGAAACUAACUGGAAUCCUUUGGUUUUCAAUCGCAUGUCAAUUGGGAUCCAAUCCUGUAACAACCUCCAAAGGAAAAAAGAGAUAGUUAAAGGAAUCCUUUUAUGCCAAAUUAAAUUGAACACUAGAUUUAUCGACUAGCAUUGUCGAAUCAUCUCCCAAGUGGACUUAGUAGUGAAUUGCCCAUCCUAGGUUGGCACCCAAUACACCCUAUCAUCACUAGAAGGAUCUAUCGAAAUUUUUAGAAUUUUUGUCACAGCAUCCUCCGGCAACACAUUAUCAACUUAUCCACAUUCCAUUUUCCAUCAUCAUAGAAAUAGGAGACUCUCAUCAUCGAUGAAACAAAUGAUGGGAAACGAUUAACCAAGGGAGUUUCACCCAUCCAACAAUCAUGCCAGAAGAAUAAUUCACCUUUACCAAUCCGCCAUCUAGUGUAUUGCUCUAUGGUUGGGCAACUAGCAAGCAUCUGUUUUCAUGUUUGUGAAUCAUGAAGUUUCGGCUGAAUGUACCUCAAAAUUUUGCCAGUACAAUAUUUAGUCCACAUAAAUCGCGUCAAAUGUUGUCACAAGACAUAAACCUCCACCAAAGCUUCAUGCUAAACGCCUCAAACACAUCACCUAGGCUGCGGAUGUCCAAUCCUCCUUCACUGAUGGAAGAGUGGUCUUUUGCCACUAACCCCAAUGAAUGUGUCUAGUGCCUGCUGAACCUCCCCAUAAGAAAUUAUUGAACAUUCUUUCAAUUUUCUCAAUCACACAGAUAUGAGGCUUAAGGACCUGGAGCAAAUAGAUAGGAAAAGAAGACAAAACAUUUCAUAAUAAUGUUUUUCGCCCACCCGGAGAUAAAAUUUUAUGGUCCUAUCCUUCUAUAUGCCCUUGAAUCUUUUCCACCAACUCAUUAAAUAACAUUACCUUUUUCAGACCUUUAUAAAGUGGCACCCUUAAAUACGUGAUAGGUAGGCACUUGUGGAUGAAACCAAUAGCUUGAGAGAUGAUUUGUAUGCUCGAAUUUGCCACAUUUUGAUGAGUGAUAAAGUAGCUUUUAGAGUGGUUUAUUCGCUGUCUAGAAAUCUCCUCAUAAUCCUGCAAGAACUUUAGAAUCUUCUGUAGGGAAGAUUUGGCACCAUUAGUGAAUAUAAGAACAUCAUCUGCAAAAGCCAAGUGGUUGACUGUCAUGGAGCAAUCAGAAACAUAGUGCAGAGAUGGAUAUCGAGCAAACAAAGCAUUUAACCCUCGGGAUAAAUAUUCGGUAGCCAGAAUGAACAAAAAAGGAGAAAUGGAGUUGCCUUGUCUGAGUCUCCUUUCUAACUUGAAGUACCCCACAUCACCACCAUUUAUCAGCAAAGAAAACUAGCAAUUAGAGAUGCAACAGCGAAUCAUGUAAAUCCACUGAGAAUUAAAUCCGAAUUGCUCUAGCAUUCUAUAAAGAAAAUCCCAUUCAAAUCGAUCAUAUACCUUCAUCAUGUCCAACUUGAGAGCAAUAUUUCCACCCCUUGACUUCCGAUCAAUCUUCCCAAUUAGUUCUUGUGCAAGUAGGAUGUUGUCGUUAAUCAAUCUCCCCCCCACGAAGCCGCUCUGAUUAUCUGUAAUAAUGGAAGGAAGCAUCUUUGCAAGGCAAUUAGCUAAAAUCUUAGUAAUGAUUUUAUUUAAAACAUUACAAAGGCUUAUCGAUCUAAAAUUGCUCCAUGUCGAGGCAAUAUGAUUCUUGGGCAGCAGCAUAAUUGUUGUGGAUGUGAUUCCCUUUGAGAGGUCAGCGCCAUGAAAAAAAUCAACUACUGCGUCUAGGAGGUCAUUAACAAUUAUAUCCCAACAUUGUUGAUAAAAAUAUGAGGAGAAUCCAUCAAGGCCAGCAACGCUGUCCUUGUCAAUAUUAAAAACUGCCUCUUUCAACUCCUCCCUGGAUGGCUCUGCACAUAAACUCAGAUUAUCAUUAUCAGAAAUAAUAGCAGGAAUCAACGAGGCAUCAAACCUGGCCAUAUUACAUGGUUCUUUCUUCACGAGGGAGGAAAAAAACUCCACUACAGAGGACUUUAUUGCGUCAAGUUCUUCAAUCCAACUGCCAUCCGAAUUUUGAAUCUUGAAUAUAUGGCUUUUAAUUCAUUUCUUCUUGACUCGCAUGUGGAAGAACUUGGUGUUGUGCUCACCCUCCACAAGCCAUUUAAUACCAGAUUUCUACUUCCAGAAUAAUUCUUCCACACUAAGAUAAUGAUUAAGUUGUGCAUACGUUUUGUUCAUUGCUGCACGAUUCUCAAUUGACCGUUCCUGUUGAAAAAUUAAUUCACAAUCUGCAGCUCUUUGUUCCGCCACUUUCAAGUUGUGAAAAAUGUCUCUAAAGAUCUCCUUAUUCCAUCGUUUUAAAGCCUAUUUCAAUUGGUGUUUCUUUGCCUAAAAAGCUUGUAUACCUGAUCCAGCAAUGGGAAGAUUCCAGUUUUGUGCCACAAAAUUUUUAAACCCAUGAUGAAGAACCCAAGCAUGCAAGAACCGAAAGGAUGAGGGAAUUCUAUCCUUAUUCCUGGAAUAGGAAAUUAGUAAAGGACAAUGAUCUGAUUCGUCCUUAUUUAGGGGCUGUAUACGUGUUGACGAAAAAAACUCUGCCCAAUGAUGAUUAUACACCAUUCUGUCCAACCGUUGGAACAUCCGGUUAUUGGUCCAAGUGAAUGGAUUUCCUUCAUAGCCACUAUCCAUUAAACCGCAAUCAAGUAGAGCAGUAGCAAAGUCUUCCAUAGAACCUCUAUGCAAAACUGCACCAUUCUACCACUCUCCAUUGUGUAAAAUGACAUUAAAGUUGCCCCCAACUAUCCAUGGUGUCUGAAUAUCCACAGCCAACUUCUUCAAGCAAUCCCAUAACCCCAGUCGCUCAGUUCUGGUACAUUUGGCAUAGAUAAAGGAUGCCAGUAAUGGUAAUUUCAGCCACUGUAAGGAGAGUUUGACGUGCAAACAUUGCACAUGAUCUAAAAGCACUACAUAACUCAAGUCAAAAAAAUGAAAAAGCCAGAUUUUAUGUGAGCAAUUUGUAAACACUUUCUUAAAACCAAACUUCCUUAUGAUAAACUCAACUUUAGAAGCAUCAACCAUUGGCUCUAAUAUAACUAAAAUUAUUAUUUUAUGCACUAACCGCAGUUUCUUGAUCCUUCUAUGAAUUUCUGCACUUGAAAUACCCCUUACAUUUCACACAAAUGCACUAAUCAUGAUCGAGUUCUAGUUGCAUAACUUACCGAGAUGGAAUUGUCAUAAGAGAUUCCAUCAUUCUUUCCCACUUCCACUACUUCCUCUAAGGCCAGAUUGGUUAUUUUUCCAAUUGAAAUUGCAGUAUUUGAGUUCCUUCUACGUCGCGCCAAUGGAUGGACUUCCAUCUCCGAAUAAGUUCCUGAUAAUGAAGGUAUAGCACUUAUUUUUUUAUUAUACAUAUACUUGCCGAAGGCGGACUCUAAAUUAGGAGGAUUAUCAUCAUUUCCUGCCAUCCUUUCACCUGAACUAGAUCUUUUAGAAGAAAUCCAAAUAUUUAUAGCUUGGGUCAGUGUCUGACUUGCACUUUCUCCCAUUAUUGGAUUGUGCUCUUCACUUCCUUCUAAUGUGUCAAUUGACAUGUUCUGACCUCCCAACUUUAUCUCUACCCUCAGCUGUCCUUUCAAUUACGGUAAGGCCCUUUUUUGCUCCAAUGGGUCCAUAUUAGCAUUUUUUAAAAUCUGGUUUGCAUUUGCUUGUCCCGCGCCCUGCUACGCCAUCUUGUCCUGGUCUGUAAAAAUAAUCAAUUCUUGCUCCCUCUCGCCCGUGACUUUAUUUUCAUGCACGUGAAGGGGGGGACAUGGGGAGGGCCCUCCUACCGUCUGUCCCUCACUGUAAAAGGGUGCUGUCCAUGAUCCUUCAGUCCCGACAAGUAUUAUCCUAGUGGCCAGGGGGUCUCGGUCAAGGUCUUUCUCUAGUUUACUAUAAGCAGACCUCUCUACCUCCCCAUUUCGAGAAUUUUCUUUGGACAAAAAAUUGAUAUCUUUCUUUGCAGUAUCCCUUUUGUCCCCCUUUUCGAUCAAAUCCUGCUACAGGUGAUUGACUUUACGUACAGUACUGCCCAUUUUUAGAGCCUCCACUAUUGCACUCUGGUCCUGCGGGCCAUACUUGUUGUUGGAAAAGCUUACCGCAAGCCUACCACUUGCUGCUGUUUUAUCGGGCUGCCAAGAGUCUUUUUUGUUUUCCCCAUCUUCAGUUGCUUUGUCUGACAUCUCUAUUGUUGGUUUUGACAUACCUUCACUGCCUAUUGCUGCCAUGCCGAGCUGAGCACUACCAGUAGCUGCAACCGGGCUCUCUACAAGCCGAGCUAUCUCAUCCAACUCACCAUGCAUGUUUUGGAGGUCCAUCUCGCCUCCACUUUUUGUUAGCUGCUAUACAUCCCCAUGCAGAACGAAUACGUCCAGCUGUUCCUCUCCUGCAUGCUCUGAUCGUUCCCUUCCUCUCACUUUGUUUUCCAUUUGCCUAGGCUUUCCAUACUCGUGAAAUAAGGUCUGGACGUCUCUCUCUACGAUCUGCAGCUUUGCAAAAUUUUCUGCUGCUUUCUCUACAUCAGCUAAACUGUCGGUGCCGUGUUGUCUCGUCACACCUUCCUCCACUCGUCUGUUGCUUCUCGGGGCCUGAUCAAGUCUCCGCCUUCAGCCUGCAAUAAAUGCUUGGCAGCCGCAUAGUCGGGCGUAUCAUGCUCGAUAGCCACUGCAGGUUUUUAGGCGAGCAUGACACUAUUCACUUGCCCUGUUCGCCCCUAUUCGACGUGCAUUCUCGGUUCGGCAACCUCACCCUUUUCCAAUGUACCAAAACGGUUCGCCAGCGGCACCGUUGCCUUGCCCCGAACCUGUGCCUCAACCUCUUGACCUGUAGUUUCUUUUUCCUCGCUCUUCCGUGAUUUUCCAACCAUUUGCCAUUGCGUAUUCUGUUUCAGCUAACCCGGCAGCAUCGAUUCUUUUUCUUUUCCUUUUUCUUGUUUUUGCUUCAGUUCUGCCUCCUUUUUCAGCAUUUCUCUUUUUUCUUCUCUCAAUGUUUUGCUUACCUACACCUUCCCUGGAGUCGUUAGCCUAUUACCCAACACCAAACACGUUGAACUCGCAUGACCCACAUGACAACAAUGCUCACAAUACGCCAGCAUCUUAGCAAAUUCAACCUGCUGUAUGUAACCUCCAGUAACAGCAAUGUACAACGGCUUUCCUAUGAUUUUAGCUAUUAACAGCAAUGUUGAUUUCUCAUAAAGGUGGGCUUUUAGGUUAGGGAAAGAGAUUCACACAGGGACAAUAGGUGAUUCUUUUUCUGCUUCAAAGUCUGGGCUCCAUUUAAAAACCCUCAUUUUCUGAUUGACAAUGAACCAUUGCUGCUUGACCCAUAUCCUAUUGAAGCCUUGCUUGUUUGAUAAAUGGAUCAGAAUGUGUUUGUAGUCCAACCACCGGAUAAUGUAAGCUCUAGUGAGGCCGAUUCCUUUGAAUGUUUGCCGGAUGUCUUAGAGUUUUGGCAUGCCAACUAAAUUUUCCAAUGAGUGAAUGCUUGAAUGGUUGGGCAAGGGACUGGAUUUCGUUCUCAAAAAACGCCGCUGCUGGUCGGUCCUUGAAGAGGAUGGGAUCUCUAGAGAAGGGGAUCAAAACUGGCUUGUCUCCAGGCACUAUUAAGAGGAAAUAUUUUUUUUGGGUUCGGGAGGACAGUGGUGGCUGGGUUUUGUCUUCUGCAACUUGUUGGAAUUCAUGGGGGGCUUGUGGGUUUGUGCCAGGGGGGGCUGUCGGCAGUGGCUGGAGAGUUGUCGGUUGUGGCUGGAGGGGUUUCGGCGGUCGGCCAAAGGGUGGACCAUGGGUGGUGGGGAGCCUUGGGGACUCAUGUUGGUUGAGAGCGUUUUGCAUUUUUAUAUAGGGCAUUAUGUGAUUGAUCAAGGAUUUGAUUAAGCUAAUGUCAAUCAAGAACUAAUGAGAUAUUUUCCCUCGAAUCACUUGGAGUGAUGAUUCCUAUCUUGAUCACUCAUUUGUUUUUAUAUUCUUCAUACUAUAUUGAAAAACAUCCUGUUUUGGCAUCCUUGAUUAGGCACCUAAAGGAUGAAAUCAAAGUAUAGUACUUCACAUACAAGAUAACUUGGUGUCUCAAAUCUAGGGAGUAAUUACACAAUUAACACAUGAGAUAAAAUAUCCCAUACUUUGAUAUGGUGAUAAAUAAAGUUGGUCGGAUGAGAAUUGAGGCAUAAUAAGGAACUUUGGGAAUCAAAGAGACAAGAUAAAAUUUUUAAAAUAAAAUAAUAAUUUAUUAAUAAAAUAAUAUUAAAAUAUUAAUAUUUAGUCGGAUGUCGAAAUCAGUCAUGAAGAAGGAUCAUAUGGUUGAUCCAAGUAGGGGAGAAGAUGUCAAGCCUAACUCUAUAAAAUACUUGUCAUGACAUACAUAUGAUGGAUAGCAUGUUUACAUGCUAGGAGAGUCUCAAAAAAUUUACAAAAGUCGGUAUUGUACCUAGAAGUACAACAAAGUUCAUUUAAGCCUCAAACUAGAUCAAAUAGAGAAUUUAAGAUGAAAUUAAGAAUAUUGAAGCCCCAGAAUGGUUUAAUAUGGUGAUUUGAAGUUCGAGAAUUAAUUUGGAGUUAAACCAAAAAUUUCAUUAUCUAGGGGUAAAAUGAUAAUUUUACCACUUGAGGACAAAAUGAAAAUUUUUUAAAAAGAUUUUGAUCAUAUUUGACUUAUUGGAGUAUGAUUUGAGGUUGAGAAGUGAAAAAUGGUGAUCCUGAUAUUUUUUGGAGUAUAGGGGUAAAAUGGUAAUUUUGUCAUCAUAGGGGCAAAAUUGUAAUUUUCCAUCACCCGAACACUUGUCUAGCACAUGGAUUCUACCCAAUUUUAUCAUGGAUAGUUGAAGGAAUUUAUAUGGUGGAGAGAAAAAGCUCAAUAGUUAAGAAAUAAAAAUGGACCAAUGAAAUGGUGAGACAUGGCAUAUUUAUAACCAUUAAAUAUUUGGCUUAUAAAUUAACACAAAUCAGCCCAUUUUCUCUUCAUAUGGCCGGCCAAAGAAGAACAAAGGAGGAAAGAAAAAAACCAAGAACCCUAGGUGAGAAAAUUGAAGAAAAAGUGUGGGAUUUCAAGGGAUUAAGCUAAUAAAGGUAAAAUUUAUUGAUUUUGACUUGUGAUUUACACUACCCAUGCUUUCUUUUUCAUUUUUCAUGAUUAGAUUUCAUGUUUUCAUGGUGAAUUCAUGGCUGGUCAAAAUGGGUAUGGAGAGAGAAAGAUGUUGGAUUGAUUUGAUUUUAAGUUAUGUUAGUGUUUUUAGUUAGUUUAGCAUAUUUAGAAACAAAACAAUAAGAAAAGAAUUCAUUUUCCCCCAUCACCAUCAUUGGCCGAAUUUUCUAGGGAAGAUAUUGUGGUUGAAAUUGAUGAUAUUUCAUGAUAUUUGGGUGAUAUUUGAUGUUUGGUGAGGCUAGAAAUUAAAUGGGAAAUUUUGGUGUGAAAAUCUGAAUUUUUACCUAAUGUAUAGACAUGUGUGAUUAUUGACCCGAGACUGAUAAAUUGAAUCUCAUUCAUAGUCAUUGAGGUAAUUUAGGUAUAAUUGGAGUGUAAAAAGUGAGAAAAAUUGAUUUAGAGUUAAAUUGGAGAUUUUAGCCGAUUAGGCCGAGUAUAUUGUGACUUUGGUCGAAUAUCACAUUUAAGUGAUUAAUCAGACAUUUUGCAUCCCAUCGCAUGCAUUCAUUUAGAUUUAGAGAGUCUGAAAUAGUUUACGAUAAAUUGACAUAAUUUAUUGAAAUUCGUGUCACGUAUGAUGUAUAGGUGGUGAGCUCUCUAACAAGGGUAAAGAGAUUGUGCCCGAAGACUGAGAAUAGGAGUAUAUCAAACUCCUAGUACUGUGAGUAACCUUACUAUCAUUUUAAUUAUCUAAAGUAUGUUGUUAUUCGGUUUUGGUGAAAUUUUAUGAAAAGGAGUUUAAAUGGUAAAUCUUUGUGUUUUACAAACAAAAUGUAUUUACAUGAAAGGAUUUUAUAAAUUGUCUUAAAAUCGAAUAAUGAUUUUGAAAAAUAGAGUAAUUGGAGACCACUUGUUAUAUUGUAAUUUAUGAUUUGAAAUCGAAUGGCUUAUGACAAUAUUUGCAUGAAUGGCUGAAUUGAUAUUUGUGUUGAAAUGUAUGAAAUAUGUAUUUAGCCUUGAAAGGUUGUGAAUUAUAAUAAUUGCCAUAUCAUGUUAUUGAAUUUUAUUGUAUGGUGGGUUUAGUUUGCUGCAGUGGGCGAAUUCUGUGGACCAGCCUAUUAGAAGGGCACAGAAUCCGGAUAUAUAUAUGUACCUCGGUCGGAGAGGCACGUAGGGUAUCUUAUGAGGUAUGGAUAGAGUUCACGUCACGCCGAACCACCUCAUGAUAAUGAACUCUGCUAACGCCAAGGAACAGUUGUGUUUUUCUCAAACUAAAAAUAUGUUUUAUGUGUAUACGAAAUUUUAACAGCCUUGCCGGGCUCUAGUGUACGCCUCUGAUCAAGGUGUCGUCGAGUACUAUUUGAUGGCAUGAGCCAAAUGUUUAUGGAAGUCAUAAGCCUUAAUGAGAAAUUAAAUGAAACACAACCGUUUGCAUGGGUUGGGAUAAAUUUUCAAAUUGUGAAAUACUUAAAAAUGAUGGAAUAUUUUAAUUGUCUCAUUUUACUCGGCUUUAGCUGAUUUAAAUGAUGUUUGGUUACUCACUGGGAUUUUAUAAUCUCACCACCCUUCUUUCCACCCAUUUCAGGCUCAGAGUAGGCUGUAGAUAGCUGAUUCCAUUGAGGGAUUCCAUUGGACUUGCUUCCUCCGAAUUGUAGGUUCACCGUUUUCCUCACUUCUAGUCAUUCGUGGGCUUGCUUGAUAUUGUAAAUUAAAUUAAUUUAAAUGCAUUGGUUUACUGUGUCACAGUAUGAAUGAAAUUAUUUUGCUUUUAUGUUACAAAAAGUAUUUACGUAAAACUCUAAAAUUACUGUUUAUAAGAAAAUAAAAUAUUUUAUUGAAUAUUUUGUUUUAUCUUCUCAUUAUAUUUAACUAAUUAUAAUUUCAUUUAAAAUAAAGGUGUUAGGUGCUUAAACUUAUUUUUGAUUGUGAAUUACGUGAUUAGUACUUGCUUACUAAAUUUUAAACUGGUUUCAAAAUUUUUCAGUAAAAAAUGACCAAAACGCCCAUGUGAGACGAAAACUUUUAUUUUAUCUGUUUUAAGUUGGAAAUAGCUCAAAAUCCUUUGGAACAUAAUAUUUGGCAACGGUUACUCACUGGGGGAAUGAGAAACUGAUAUUAAGCCUUGCGGAAUUUCGAUUCGCAUUCUGGGAGAUGAGUGCCCAUCGGGGCACCGCGGCGGUUGUCACGGGCUCGAGGGGAGUUUCGGGUCGUGACAUGAGAAGUAUUGCAUAGACACUUGAGUGAAAUACCAAAUGCACUUCUCAUGGUGGGUCAUGUUCAGUGAACUCAUUAUCCCAUGGCAAGCACCCACAUGCUAGUUCCCAAGUAUCUCUAUACUUCAAUCUAUGAAAACGAUUGCUUACUUCACAAGCAAGGAACAUAACAUGUGCCAAUCUUUGAGCAUUAUUGAUGCCCUGUCUCAAUAACAUAAUGAUCAGGAACUUUUAGGAAAAAUGCUUUAAUGCAUAAGGAUCUCAUAAUUAUAUCCUAAUACAAUUCUUUUGCAAGGCAUAUAUAGUUCCAUGGGCUUUAUCUACAUAAGUACAAAAAGUAAUUAAAUUACAAACUUAUGGAUAAAUAACUACCUCAAUGUUAAUAUGAAUAACAAAAUGUCAUACAUGAAUAUCUCAAAAUUGCAGUUCCCAUACAACCACAGAUUGGCUUGAAGGGCUUAUACUAAUAGUAACGACCUUCUUCCCGAUCGUUAUCGGUGUCCAAGACUUGCGGGAGAACCACCAAAUCUCGAACAAGCCUUCACAAUUAUCAUUUUAUCAAACCAUAACACUUCAGUCGAAAAUCUCAUAACCAUCACGAUUUCAUUAAUAGCAAAUAUUCUCUCUAUACAUAUUGUUUCAUCAUCAUAUAAAUAUAUGUUUACAUUUUACAAUAAAUGGCAAGUUCCUAAAAUCUCUUGACAGCAUAAAAACCUUUAGCAGCGAAGUGACUCGAAAUAGGGUACUAAGAGAUGCCUUUACCUACAUCAUAGUGGACCAUAAUAUGUUGAUGAAAAGCACGCUAGCUAAUCACUUCUCUACAAAAUGAGAAUAUUAGGGUGAGUCUCACAGACUCAGUGAUCAUCGUCUCAAUAAGUAAGGAGAAGAUGGUAAACAUGCCAAAGAUAGAAAAUUUGAAUAUUAAAAACAUAUGAAUAUAUAAACCAUUUAAAAUCAAAUGGAACAUUUGUGCCUUACAUAUACCAAAUAAUUGUGAUGCAAAGUAACCAUUCAGGUAAUAUAUUAAAAUCGGUGCAAUUAAAAGACUUCUACCAUCAAAAUCAUUUGAUGGCCUUUACUCAAAAUCAGACUAACAUAAGAAUGCACGCUUUCGUAAAAUCAACAAUAUCAAUGCUUAUGCACAAGCAUAUAAAUGAACUCAUACUCGAGGUAUUAAACAAAAAACCAUCGUAUAAAUAAAGGAGUUGGGAAAAACCGAUAACAUAUACCAUGAGAAAAAAUACGUAUGUGAAAACCUAAUGAGAUAUCACUCUCGAGUAGGUAAUCAUAAGUAAGCAACCCGUGGACCCGCUUCCAUGUAAUAACAAUCCGGGAGGCCCCUCUCCACUGGAUUCCCGUAGCCAUGGCAGUUUCGACGAUGUUGGCCGACAUCGGAGAAAUGAUGUGGUCUCAACCACGUAUAUCAACUGGUGGCCUAGCGAUGUAUAUCAUCCUGUGGCCUUGCUGCAUAUAUAUAUAUAUAAAUAUAUAUAUCACAGACCGUGGCCUAGCCACGUCUAAUAGCCCAUCGAUGACCUAAAGGUUCUCUAGCUAGAGCUCACUUGUGCAUAAGGCUUAUACUGUCCCGAUGUGACAUUCAGCCUACUCUCUAAUCUCCCGGUUUGUCAAAGCCAUUUAUAAGCAAGUUAGGUUCUCAAAAGCUUAUUUUAAAUCUAUUUCCAAAAUACCAAUCAUGGUGACAUGAUAAAUCCAUUUGUAAGACUUUAUAAUGUAAAGCCUAUGCAUGAGGUUUAAAUAUCAAAUCAGCAUGGUGAGCAUAAAGUUUAUUCAUGAAUGCACAUCACACAAACAAAUAAGGCACAUUUUGACAUAAACUAUGGUGAAGAGCUUGUUUCCCGAUUUCUAAAACCCUUUACAUAGAUAACUUAUAUAUAUACAAGACAUUUCUAAAAGCCUGGCAUUCACAAAGUGCCUAGCAUUCUACCAACUCAUGCUUUCCACAAUAACAGUAUAAUCGAUUGCAAAUCCAUUUAAAAAUCGCCUACCAAGGCUAACAACUCAUGCUAUCCAUAAUUGCAUUUAAAGAAAACUGGCAACGUUUAUUAAACGUAUAUCAAUAUAUAGUUUAUGGAACUUUUGAAAUAGACACCCCCUAUUCACCUUUCUUGGCGGGAUAUUACUUCGCCAAUUUAAAUUCUUUGUGUUCUUAAUCGAUCAAUAUCGCUUGCCAUCUAACUGUUAUCCUUCUUGAUUUACAUGCACGACAACUAUCCUUUACUUGGCAAUUUCCUAGCAGCAAUUAAAUCCAACAUAUUUAGCAACUUUACAAUUUAUUCUACCCUACACUUGCUGCCCACACUUAGCUUUAUGCUUUUAUAACUUAUUCUUUAUUCCCCCUUCUCAUUCAAGUACUAACCAUUAACUAAAUAGUUCAAUUCAUGCUAUAAUUAGCAUUCCUUCACAAAUAAUCCUUUGCACACACACACACACACAGACAUAUAUAUAUAUNCACACACACACACACACAUAUAUAUAUAUAUAUAUAUAUAUAUAUAUAUAUAUAUAUAGGCAGUAACUUUACCAAAGAAUUCUCAAGUCCUUACAUGCAUAAUUUUCAUUCCUUUACUUCUUUCAAAACAUUACAUUCACACAACAUCAAAACUCAUAACUAGUAUAAGCAAUCUUCUUAACCCAUAAUCAUAUAAAAUGAACAAUCAAGGAAUAGGCCACAAUUCAUCUUACCUUUCUCAAUAAUUUAACUUGAGCUAAAACCAAGAAAUCUCAAGCUCUUUCGUAGCGUAGUCUUACAUUCCUUGCGAAUCACCAACAUGCAUGGGUUUCUUGGCACACACACGGUGUUCUUUUUGCUACUACAAACAUUCUCACACAAUCACAAUUCAAUUCCUUAAGAAAGUCAUAGAUCAAACUCAACUUUACUCACCUAAACUUUCCUUGAACCCGUGAAUCAUUCACACUUUCUUCCUUGCGGUUUCUAGGAGCAAUGAAGCUUGCUGAUAGGAAAAUGGCAACAAAUAGGCUCACGGGUACUAAGGGAAAUGGAGUAGCCAAGUACUUUUCUCUAAACUCUUUCUCUCCUCUUGUGUGGAAGCCUCACAAAGCUAUUUCUCUUCAUUUCUCUUCCAAAUGGGGCAGAUCUCUCAAGGCAAACACACUUUGUUUGCUUUCUUUUUUAUAUGGGCAGACAUAACAAGAAAUAAGCUUAAAAUGGCCUUGUAAAAGUUCCUAUUUCCUUUCCAUUUCUUUUUUGGGCAAAUUGUCCAAGGCUUGGUAGCUUUUGGCAUUUUUCUUUUUCUUUUACGUGGGUAGAUAUCACAAGGCAAAAAGCCUUGAAAUCUUGCUUUUGCACUUGUAUGGGCGAAUUCUCCCAAGUUCCUCUAUCAACUCAAAUUUCUUUAUUUUAUUUUCUUUCCGUCAAAUGUUAUGAUUAUACCCUUUUCUUUCUAAGUCACAUUACCAACCUUACUAUGUUUACCAUGGGCUAUCUUUGCCAAACCAUGGUUUUUUUUAAUUAAAUACUCUUUGUUCUUUUUCUCUUUGUCAUCUUUCACAUGGUGGGGGUCCUACAUGUCCCUCACUAGGCUUUAUCCUUUCUACAUGCAAUCAUUUGCAUGUAAUAGUAACUUCACAUGCAAAUUCCAUCAAGGUAAGCAAUCUCACUUGCAUUUCACUUUACUUGCAUCCUACUUGAAUUUCAUCUUGCCUUCCAUAAUACAAAUAUAUACAUCAAAUAUUCUCUUAACUUUUCAUUAUUUACAAUUAGGUCCUUCCAUCUUUCCUUUAUUUUCAAUUCUCUUCUAUUUUUCUUCCAUUACACUUGUUCAAAUAAAAUGUCAAAUUCAUACUUCACCAAGGUGUGACCAUAAUAUUUAAAUAUAUACUAAUUCUUUCUCACUUUCAUUUAAUGAAAGCACGUGGGCCCCACUAAAGCUUCAUUUCUUUGAAAUAUUUCUUACUUUCACUGCCCCAUUUAGACAAAUUGUACAAAUCAUAUGUUCUUUGUGUAAUAAAACCAAUUUGACAUAUAUAUUAUUUUAAUAUUAUUUCAUCCAAAAAUUAAUAUUUUAUUCUAAAAUUUUCCUCUAGCCUUCUAAGGCUCCAAAACAUCUUACUUUGCCCUGGUUUAGCUCUAUAACACCUUUUUAACUCCACCACUUUGACCUCAAUAAGAUAUUAUUAUUUUAUCUCAUACAUAAUAUUUUACUCUAAAAUAUUCCUUUCACCCUCCAACACUUUUAAACACUUUCAUUGGCCUUAAUUGACCUUCAUCUUAUCCUUAAGGUUGUUGGCUCCAUUAGUUUUUGAUGAUAAUAAAACAUUCCCAUUCAUUUGUGUCUAAUAUUUCUACUUAAGUGUGCAGGACAAAAAGUCAUAUGGAAAUAAUAAAUCAACCUUUCAAAUGUGUAUAUCAAAAAUCAUGAAAACGAAGAAAAACGAUUGAUCAACAAAAAUGAAGGUCUUUAGUUAAAUAAUGAAGAAUGUUGGUUGACUAAAAUUUAAAUUGAAGAAAUGGCGGGCUGAAGAGUAUUGAGAAACAGAACCGACUUAGUCGACCAAGAUGUGAGUUAGUCGACUAAAUGCUUUCUGCCAAAGUCUGGACUUCAAGACAGAACCAACUUAGUCGACCAAGAAAUGAGUUAGUCGACUAAAUGCUCUCUACCAGAAUCUGCGACCAGAAGAUAGAACCAACUUAGUCGACCAAGAAGAAAGUUAGUCGACUAAGAGCUUUCUGUCUGUAAUUUGAACUAGAGCACUAAAAGACAGAUUAACGGCUAGAACCAACUCUCAACUAUUUCCAACGGCCAUAAACUUCCAAACUACCAUCAGAUUUGUUUCUCCAUGUAUAAAAGUAUCUUCCAACAGUUAGAAAUCAGUUCUUUAGAAGUUUUGGAAGAUAUUUGAGUCAUAUAGAGCUGAAAAACCAGAAAAUCUCCUAUGCACCUUUUUGCACUUAAACGUCAAUCUUUUGUAUUUGUAUUAUGCACUCAACCUUGUACCAUUUAGAUCAACCUUGUGAUGAUAGGUAUUUUCUUUUACUUCUCUUCUUGUAUUCUUAAAGUGAGGGAGUCACUCCAAGUGGUUGUUUCAAGCUAGGUUUGCUUGAAUGUGUUAAGGUUCUAACUUAGCCUCUAAAAGUUAGGUUUUGGGUUUUGGUUGAGCCCAUGAAAAACCAUUGUGAAAGGUUGUGGUUGAGCCUUUAAAAAACCACUUUGGGUUUUGGUUGAUCCCGGUAAAAACCAUUGUGAAAGGUUUUGACUAAGCCUGGUAAAAGCCAUUGUAAAGCUUGGUGAAAGCUUGUGAAUUUCACCUUUUAUAGUGGAUUGAUUUGGAAAAUCCUUAGUUGAAUAAUCAAGGCAGUGGAUGUAGGUCUUGGACCGAACCAUUCUAAAUUCUUGUGCAUUAUCUACUCUAUUUUUAUUUUCAUUGCUUUUCAAAUUAGUUCUCAUCUUGUCAAGAGCGAAAAGGUGAUAUUCACCCCCCUUCUAGCACAUUUAUUUGAGACCAACAAAGGUCAUAUUAGGCACCAUACCAAAGUACGAGGUGUUACAAGGAACACUUGUAAGAUUAGUCUACCACUUUCUUUCAUAACAGAGUUCAGAAUAAGGGUUAGCAUAGAAGUCUCUUGCAUGCAAGGAGAUGCUAUUGCUGGAUGCCAUGGUUUUGGGGUGCCAUGAUCCUUCUCCCUAGAACAAUUGAAGGCAUUGCCUUCCUUCAACUUUUAGAGGUGGGGGCAACAUCAAUCAUCAUUCAGUGAGCUAUUUAUUACCCGCAAUGGCGCUUUACUUGCAUGCAAGGCGGCACGCCAGGUGGAGCUAUUGCUAAGGGUGAAAGAGAUGCAUUUCUGUACUGGUAGUACUAGACAAGCUCUUAGGGAAUAAUCUCUUUCUUAUUUUUGCCUUUCUUUCCCAUGAUGACUAGGAACAGACAAAUAAAAAAUUUCACUUUGAAUUUCAGACCUCAACAUCCUGCUGCUCAUGGUGUUUCAAGAUCAGUAUUGGAAAUGAAUAGAGAAGUGAUGGAAUGUGCAGAACCACAUAUUGGAUUACUUUAGUGCGGCAUGAAGCCACUGAUGCCGAGUUGGCUCUUAUGUAGCUACCUAUGCCUUGCUUGGUCCCCUGGCAUGAUGGAGAUUUGGUAGUGUGUCAUGAGCAUUGAGCUAAGGGGUGGUUGAGCAACUCAAGCGAAUCGCCCUACCUUUCUACAACAUAGGGACAAAAGGGAGAAGGUUGUGAAGGUGGCUUCAUUAUCCACACUUUUGGUCAGAUGAAUGGAGGAUCGACUGACCUAGGUUUUCAUGAGUGUUGGCAAGUCUUGGACUGCUUGUCAAGGGCGCUAGCGCAUACCUCAUGGUGAUCAUCACUACUUGCACCUCACAUCUUGGUAGUGGAACAUGUACCCACAUGUUGUCUCAUUCAACUACAUUUAUUCCAAUAAUCUAUAGCCUAACAAAAUGCAGCAAUAAGGGACAACCCGCCCAUAUAGCCAGCGGGGAGCAUGACACUACUGGCCAAAGAUCGUUUGGUGAAAACGCUACGGGCGCGAAGCUUGGUAAGCCUGUGAUAACCCUAUAAUAUAGGGUUAUGUGGGCUUAAUUUUGAUAGUAAUUUAACUUAGUUCUUGUAGUAAUAUAUAGAAAUUAAUAGGUUUUAUUUAAUUAUUUUAAAUUGGUUAUUUUAGUUAAGUCAAUCUAAUCUUAGUUAAUUUCAUACUUAAUUUGGUGUUAAUGUGGUUAAGAUAGGUUGUUAUUGAUUUAUUUGUGCUUUUGUAGGUCUUUGAUGAAAGAAGAAUUUUAGUGGAAGAAAAAGAGCAAUUUCAAGGUGUAGAUUUUUACUACACAUAUUUUGGUAUCUCAACCAUAACUCUCUCUAAUGAGCUCCAAAUGAAGUGAUUCUUAGACCAUUAGAAAGAUAAGAGAAAAAUAUACAACUUUCAUGUUUAUCACUUCACCCAGUUCUACCUGGAAGGUGGUAAAAAAUCUAGUCAAAGUUGACACAUUGUAGUAGUCCUAGAGCAAUUAUGAUUUCUGUUAAUUAAUUGGGCGAGGCUAGGACCCACAUAGUCUAAUGAGGAAAUCCUAGCUAAAAUUUACUUCUUCCUUCACCCAACUUGGCCUAACUUCUAAGUCUUAUAAAAAUAACCUUUCGGAGGACUUUUAAGAGAGAACAAAACACUAAGUAAAUAGCUGAUAGUCAAGCCACAGAGUUGUUGAAGCUAAGAAUAAUUUGAAGGAUCCAAGGAGAUUUGGAGAUAAAAAAUACAAUUCUUGAGUUUUUCUAUCUUUUUUUAUUCUUUUAUUCUCUUGGUUUUGUUUUUAAUAUUUAAAAUUUAUUCAAUGAUGAUGUGUGACUUGAUGGGGAACUAAACUUUUUAUCUAAGAUUAUGAUUGAACUCAAUGUGUAAUCUGAAUUAUUUAUCUCUCUUUUACUCAUGCUUAAUGGAUUUAAGUUGUUUAUUUUAUUUUGUUCUUAAUGCUUCUAGUUGACUAGCCACCAAUUAGAUUGAAUUCGAAACCUAGGUUAAACCUUGAAGGAAGGAGAUUUAGGUAGACCUUGAAUAAAAUAGCAUAUGAUCGAAUGCACUUAGUUGAUUAAGUGGUUUGAUUUGCAUAUAGGGUAGACAUACACCUAUAAGCCAUACGUAGCUAAAAUUAGAGCACAAACUUAAUGAAUCUUUCUUCAAUAUAAUUUGCAUAUACAUAUAGUAAAUUAAUUGAGAGAAGUAUUUUUAUGAGAAACUCGACGGAUACUUGUAAAUAAUUUAGGACUUUAGGUUAGCAACUUAAUCCAUUAAACUGAGUUAAGAGAGAAAGACAAUAUUUAGAUGAAGUAUUGAGGGAUGUCAUAAUCUUAGGUCUGGUAAUCACUAGAAGUAAUUUUGUUGAUAUAUUAGUUUUAAUUAUUAGUUGAUUAGUUUCAAUCUUUCUUUUUAAUUUUAAUUGUUUAGAUAAAAUUAGAGUGUGUUAAUUUUAGUAGUUAACAGUAAGGAUUAAUUCAAUUUUUUGUGGGAUCGACACUCUAUUCAUCUCUAAAUUAUCUUUGUGAUACGUAUAAUUUUUUAGCACCGUUGUCGAGAAAUUGAUUUUUAGUUCUUUCUUGUUAAUAUUAAUACCAAGCAUUCUCAAUUUUAAUUCAGACUUUUCUUUCCUUUAAUUUUUUUAAGUACCUUUGGUUGUUGUAUGCGAAGAGCCAGAAAUUUGAAAAUUGUUCCUUUUUAUCCAGAAAUAAAAAAGACUUUUCAAAAACUUCGAAGGAAAAAUAAAAAAGUUUUUGCUUUAAGUAAAACAAUGGCUGAUCAACAAGAGGAAGAGACCAAGCCUUUGAGGGAUUAUGCUGUCCCACAAGUACAAAAUCUCCACUCUAGUAUCCGAAGAUCUCCUAUUCAAGCCAACAAUUUUGGAAUUAAGCCAUCAAUCAUUUUGAUGAUUCAAACUGCUAUUCAGUUUGGGAGUUCGUUUAAUGAUGAUCCGUAUGUUCAUAUUGCAAAUUUCCUAAAAAUUUGCGAUACAUUCAAGGCUAAUGGUGUUACUGCUGAUGCCAUAAGAUUGAGGCUUUUCCCUUUUUCAUUGAGAGAUAAAGCAAAUAGUUGGUUAAAUUCGCUUCCUACUGGUUCCAUUAAUACUUUGAUGGUUUGGCUAAAAAAUUCUUAGCAAAAUUUGCGGAAUGAUAUCACUUCUUUCAUGCAAUUUGAUUCCGAAUCACUAUAUAAGGCUUGGGAGAUGUAUAAGGAUAUGAUAAAAAGGUGUCCUCAACAUGGAUUACCUAAGUGGCUACAAGUUCAGACUUUUUAUAAUGGUUUGCUAGGACCUUUUAGAACUACCAUUGAGGCUGCUGCUAAAGGUGCACUCAUGAGUAAAUGCAUUAAUGAGGCUUAUGAUUUGCUCGAAGAGAUAGCUUAUAAUAAUUAUCAAUGGCCAUCUGAGAGAUUGGGUACAAGAAAAAUUAUUGGAAUUCAUGAAUUAGAUGUGAUAAACACCAUUUCUACACAAUUGGCUUCUCUAGCAAAGAAAAUAGAUAAAUUAAGUGUUAAUGCUGUUCAAAACCCCUUCAUGACAUGUGAAUUUUGUGGGGAAGGACAUUCCAAUGACAAUUGUCCCAUCUAUUUUGAGUCUUGUCAAUUUGUUGGAAAUAGGCAAUGGAACAAUCCCUAUUCCAACACUUAUAAUCCUGGUUGGAGGAAUCAUCCUAAUCUUUCAUGGAAUAACAACCAAGGGUCUUCAUCAGCGGAUAAGUCAAACUUUCCUCUUGGAUUUCCAUUUAGAGCCUCUAUGCCAGAGAAAAAGCCUUCAAUGGAGGAUAUGUUCAUGCAGUCCAUGACAAAGAUUGAUGCAUUUAUGAUAAGGAUUGAUGCCUCUAUUCAAAAUCAAGCAGCUUCAAUUAGAAAUCUUGAGACACAAGUGGGCCAACUUGCCAGUGUUUUAAAUACUAGACCUCCUGGUACCUUACCAAGCGAUACUGAACCCAAGCCAAGAAGAGAAGAUAGUGAACAUUGUAUGGCAAUCACUCUCCGUAAUGGAAAAGAGGUAAGUAAUAAGUUUUAAAUUCUGAGAUUUCAAUUCAAUUUGAUGAGAAAAAAAGUGAAAAAACUACUGAAAAAGAAAUUGUGGUUGAAAAAUUUGUUGAAAAAUCACAAUUAAGAUAUGCUCCCACACUUGCACCACCUUUUCCUCAAUGUUUUCAAAAGCAAAAACUUGACAAACAAUUUUAGAGAUUUCUCAAGGUAUUUAAAAAGCUGCACAUUAAUAUUCCUUUUGCUGAAGCUUUAGAACAAAUGCCAAGUUAUCUUAAAUUCUUGAAUGAUAUCCUAAUCAAAAAGAGGAAAUUGGAAGAUUUUGAGACAAUUGCAUUAUUGAGGAGUGCAGUGCUAUAAUCUAGAACAAGCUUCCACCAAAGCUUAAGGAUCUAGGGAGUUUUUCUAUUCCUUGCACUAUUGGUAGUUUUAAAAUUUCUAAAGCUUUGUGUGAUUUAGGUGCUAGUGUUUUAAUAAUGCCUUUAUCUACUGCUAGAAAACUUGGAUUUCAAGAGAUACAACCUACUACAGUUACCUUGCAAUUAGCAGACAGAACAAUCAGGUACCCAGUUGGAAUUAUAGAAGGUGUUUUGCUUAAAGUUGGGCAUUUAUACAUUAUUGUGGACUUUAUUGUGCUUGAGAUUGAAGAUGAUGUUGAAAUUCCUUUUAUUUUGAGAAGACCAUUCUUAGCUACAACUGGAGGAAUUAUUGAUGUGAAGAAUGGCAAAAUAACUUUUAGAGUUAGAGAAGAGGAAGUGGUAUUUAAUUUGUUCAAUGUAACUUAAUAUCCUUAUACAGAUAGUUGCUAUAAAUUGGAUUUAGUUAAUGAGGUAAAGGUAAGCCUAGUCCACCACCUUCAACGAAGAAGGUACCAACUCUUGAGAUAAAACCACUACCACUUUUCAGUCAUCUUGAUUUGUGGUUGGACAGCGAGUAAUAUUUUCUGAUUCACAACUUCAUCUUUUUCCAUGGAAUCUUAGACCAUAUCAAGGGAACACCUUUAAGGUGGUAAAAAUUCAUCCUUAUGAUAUUAUUGAGAUUUAUAGUGGGCUUACUGGAGCUGUCAAGAUUAAUAUAGAAAGUCUAGAGCCAUAUAAAGUAGUGUAGAAUGGGGUGCCAUAGUCAAGUUAGUGACUAUAAAGAAGCGCCUCUUAAGAGGCAACCUAAGCACUCUAACUUACUUUUUUUUUAUUUAUUUAUUUUAUUUAUUUAAUUAUUAAAUUAUUAAUACUUUCUUUUAUUUUUGUAAGUACAUGCAAAAAAAAUUAGAAAAAUAAUUUUCAAAAAAAGGGGGUUAAGCUGCGACUCCCACUAGAGGAGGUCGCGGCCUCCCACACUUUAAUGAAUGUGGGCCAUUGCCCACUAGGCUCUAGCCCAACCCCUCCCCCCCCCCCCCCUAAAAAAAAAAUAAAUCAAGGUUGCGGCAUCCCCUCUAACGGAUUGUUGGAGUGCAAGUCACGACGUUCCAACAACAAGGCCACAGCCUCACUCCCUUUUGUGAUGUGGGCCAUGACUUUCACUAAAGGGCAGGCCGUAGCCCCCUUUGAUGUGGGCUACCAACAAUGGGCAGCCCACUACCCCAUAAGCCCCCUUGAAGUGGGCUGCCAACAAUGGGCUGCCCACUUACCCACUUACCCACUGCCCACUAACCAUAACCCCUUUCCUUUUUUUUUUUAUAUGGGCUGCCAAUAAUAGGUAGCCCAUUUCCCAACAAAAACCCUUUUUCUUUAUUUAUUUUCUAUUCAGUUAUUUUUAUUUAUUAUUUAUUUUAUUUUCUACAUUAAUCUUUAUUUAUUUUCUUUUUGUAGUUUAAAAAAAAUUCCUCCUAGAAGUGAGAAUGAGGAAGAUGAUAGUAAAAACAAGAUGGAGGACUAGCGCUUCACCAGAUUCAUCCAAUCAUUAGGGGAGUAUUCUUUACCUUUCUUUUAUUUUUUCUAACAUUAAGAACAAUGUUCAGUUUAAGUUUUAAGGGGGGUGAAUUUAUUUUUCUAGUGAUGACUAUUCUGUUGAAGUUUUAGAUUUAGUUUUAUUUGCAUGCGUAUUUAUUUUUAUAAAUAAUUUAGGAUUAGUUGGAAAAUGAAUUUAUUAUUUGCUCGAAUUUUAGAAAUCUAAAAUAAAGUUGUGCCAAUUUUUUUGAUGAUUUCUCUAUCCAAUGUUGAUAACUAGUUGUCUUAAAUUCUUAGCUUUUGGUGAAUAAGGUUUUGUUUGGAUUCAUGCUAAAUUCUGUUGAUGAGUAUCAUUGUUAGGAUGUGAUUUCAACAAUUUUGAGCACUAUAUCUUUUACUUUGAAUUAUUAUGAAUAUUUAGAGAAGGUUUAUAUUGAUGUGAAUUUUAGAUUUCAUGAAUUCUAGAAUUUGUUUGAUUUUCUCUUGAGGUGAAAUCCUAGGCAAUAUUUAGUUAGGGAAAUGAUUUAGGCCAUCUUUGGACUAUUUGAGCUUAAGAAGCUAACCUUGUUAAAUUUUUAUCCCUAGUAUUCCCCUUUGAGCCUAAUUUUCCUUUUCUUUAUUUAACUACCUAAUAAUUGAGCUUAGCCUGAAAAUUAAAUUUCCAAUUUUGCAACCCUCACUCUUAAGCAUGUGUAUUGUUUUAGGAAUUUAAAUUGAGCUAAAUGUUGUAAAAGGUGAAAAGGUGACGUUAAUGUGAAAAAAAAAAGUUCAAAAUAUGAAAUAUAACCCCACUACCUACAAUACAAAGAAAAUAAGUUUGGGGAUGUGAAAUUGUGAAAUUAUGAAAAAAAAUGUGUUGAAAGAAAAAAAAGAAGAAAAAAGAAAAGUUCAAAUGUGGAAGAAAAGAUGUAUUAGGAAAAGCAAAAUAGAGCUCCAUAUAUAGGUCUUAGAAUAAUUAUGUGCUUAGGGUGAUUUGAGCCACAUUAAUAUCCUUUAUCAUACCUUGACCCUAGCCAUACAUUACAAGCUUAUUAAAGUCCUAUUGAUCCCUAGCUUGGUGUUAGUCUACAUUGGUGGAGAGAGAGAUGAAAAGUAAACAUAUGGAGUUCUAGUACUAAUUUGAAAUUGGUGUUGGUAUAAACUCAUUCGGAUAUAAUGAUAUUCUUGGUAAAGUACUACACACACACAUGGAAAUCCAUUCAAGAAUGUGCUUGCAUUGGAAUUGAAACAUGAAUUUGAAUGAGGCCUAUAUUUUUCCAUUGGCUAAUGAUUGAUAGACAUAGUUUUGAGGAAAUUAUAAGAAAUCAUUGAUUUGGUUCACUUUAUCUCUAGUAGUAGUAGUAGUAGCUAUAUUUAUUUUAGUUUUCUUUAACUGAAUUUAAUUUUUGUAAGUUAGUUCUUUUCUAGGUUUUGCUCGAGGAUUAGCAAAAUAUUAAGUUUGGGGGUGUGAUAACUCUAUAAUAUAGAGUUAUUUGGGCUUAAUUUUGAUAGUAAUUUAGCUUAGUUCUUGUAGUAAUGCAUAAAAAUUAGUAAGUUUUAUUUAAUUAUUUUAAAUUAGUUAUUUUAGGUGAGUCAAUCUAGUUUUAAUUAAUUUAUACUUAAUUUGGUGUUAAUGUGGUUAAGAUAUGUUGCUAUUGAUUUAUUUAUGCUUUUGUAGGUGUUUGAUGAAAGAAGAAUUUUUGUGGAAGAAGAAGAGCAAUUUCAAGAUGUAGACUUUUACUGCACAUAUUUUUGUAUUUUGGCCAUAACUCUCUCUACAGAGCUCCAAAUGAAGUGAUUCUUAGACUAUUAGAAAGAUAAGAAAAAAAUAUUCAACUUUAAUGUUUACCACUUCACCCAGUUCUGCUUGGAAGGGGUCAAAAAUCUUGUCAAAGUUGAUGCACUAUAGUAGUCCUAAAGCAAUUACGAUUUCUGUUAAUUAAUUGGGCAAGGUUGCGACCAACAUAGUCCGAUGAGGAAAUCCCAGCUGAAAUUGACUUCUUCUUUUGCCCAACUUGGCCUAACUUCAAAGCCCUAGAAAAACAACAUUUCGAAGGACUUUUAGGAGAGAAUAAAACACCAGAUUAAUAGCUAACAGUCAACCCAUAGAGUUAUUGAAGCUAAGAAGAAUUUGAAGGAUCCAAGGAGAUUUGGAGAUCAAGAAUACCAUUCUUGAGUUUUUCUAUCAUUUUUUAUUCUCUUAUUAUCUUGGUUUUAUUUUUAAUGUUUAAACUUUAUUCAAUGAUGAUGAAUGACUUGAUGGGGAACUAAACUUUUUAUUUAAGAUUAUGAUUGAACUCAAUAUGUAGUCUGAAUUAUUUAUCUCUCUUUUACUUAUGUUUGAUGGAUUUAAGUUGUUUAUUUUAUUCUGUUCUUAAUGCUACUAGUUGACUGGCCACUAAUUAGAUUGAAUUGGAAACCUAAGCUAAACCUUGACGAAGGAGAUUUAGGUAGGCCAUGAAUAGAAUAGUAUAUGAUCGAAUGCACUUAGUUGAUUAAGUGGUUUGAUUUACAUAUAGGGUAGACAUACACCUAUAAGCCAUACGUAUUCAGAAUUAGAGCACAAACUUAAUGAAUCUUUCUUCAAUAUAAUUUUCAUAGACAUAUUUUAAAUUAAUUGAGAGAGGUAUUUUUAUGAGAAACUCAAUAGAGACUUGUAAAUAAUUUAGGACUCUAGGUUAGCAACUUAAUCCAUUAAACUGAGUUAAAAGAGAGAGACAAUAUUCAGAUGAAGUAUGGAGGGAUAUCAUAAUCUUAGGUCUGGUAAUCACUAGAAGUAAUUUUGCUGAUAUAUUAGUUUUAGUUAUUAGUUUAUUAGUUUCAAUCUUUCUUUUUAAUUUUAAUUGUUUAGAUAAAAGUAGGGUGUGUUAAUUUUAAUAGUUAACAGUAAGGAUUAAUUCAAUUCUCUAUAGGAUCAACACUUUACUCAUCUCUAUAUUAUCUUUGCGAUACGUAUAUUUGUGUGGGUAGAAAAUUGAACAACAGCCUGUGCUGAGGGAGCAUAGCAUAAAGAGGAAAGGGAGCUUGGAUGGUGGACAAGCUAGGGGAGGCUAGGUCAUUUGACGAAAAUGGAAGGCUUUUCUCCUAUUAUAGAAGGCCCUAUGAAAUAAAGGGAAGUGCAUGAAUUCUUGGAAUAAGAAGGAGUGAGCUUAUAUAAAAAAUGUAAUAAAGUCAAAUCAAUGAAUAAAUAGAGUCAAAUGUACGACAAAAAGUGCUACCUAAACGCGAAUUCGCUUCCGAGGUCGAGCAUCUUAAUUUCACUAUAGAAUUUGAGAAUGAAUGCUGGGUUGGGCCACCUCGAAUGGCAUGAGCUAUAUGCAAGGUGACUCACACGUACAGUUUUUAAGGGGAUCUAGUCGAAAGAUUGACCGGUGCCCACCCAACUAGAGCGACUGAGAAAUUAAUAAAGUACAAAACUUAUCUUCAAGCUUUACCUUAUUUUGAUAAUUUAGAAGGCGAUUACAGAGUCAUUGAAUGAAGUCCUCCAUUUUUUGGAGGUGUUGACCCACAACGAGGUAGAGAUGACUAAGUGACAUAUGGAAUAUGGCGAUGACAACAACAUGUCAUAGAAGAAGAUAGCAGGUGGAGCCAACGACCCACUAAGACUAAUGUAUCUACAACUACAUCCCUGAGUGGCAGUCAAACGGGAUGGCAAUGCAUGAUGCUAAUGGAAUGAUCAACCAGAUAGAGGCUAGGUUGCUUCCUUCCCACAACGUUCUUCCUUGUGUGUCAGAGAUAUAAAGCGAGUGCAUUGAAAAAGAACGAGAAAUGGGUCAAUCUAUUCUAUGGUGAGGCAUUUGAAGCAUAAUUAUGCAUUCACGCGAUCUUUGUUGAGAGAUAGAAGCAUUCGGUGGAAUCGGUGAAUUGCACUUGCUUUUGGAUAGAUGUGUGGAAUAGAGGGCUCGUGGUACCUGUUGCCCACCCUUCUUCCUCUGCUUUGAGAACCGUGUGAACAGAGAAUGGGUAAAAGGGAAGGAGGUCCUCAUAUAGAGUCGCACAUUUGCUUGAGCAAUGCGAGAGACUUGAGAAUGGGUCGAGUAAACUCCCCUAGGGCCAAAAAAUAACAGACAAAGCUUAACAAUGAGAGGGCUUUGAUUAGUAUUGAUUUUUUCUUAGUGAUUGGUAAGGAGGGUGCUUGGGUAUGUUACAAAAACGGAAGGAAGUGGUAGUACUUCGAAUGGCGAAGAAAGGUGGCUCGACAGAGAAGGAAUGGGAAAUCAUCAAGGAUGACUUCUUUGUGUUAUUAGCGAAAUGAAGGGCUAAAUAGUGCUAGUGAUUCUCUAAGUCGGUCUAGAUUUCCAAUGCUUCUGGAAACACUUGUCAAGAUAGAUGACAACGCCUUUUUCCUAUCCUCCUUACUGAGAGGGAAAUCUUCUCUUAUGGCCUUCACCUCUCGCCUGUGUAACGACCCUCUUCCCCAAUCGUUACCGGCGUCCAAUACUUACGGGAAAACUCGCCAAAUCUUGAACAAGUCUUAAUUGAGAUUCUAGUUAACUAAAUCGAACAUUUUAAUGCGUAAAUUAAUCAACUCAGAUUUCUUUAUAACGGACCACAUUGUGAUGACUAUUAAAAAUUCUAUCGACUUGUAUAAAUAAGAUUGUUUACUUAAAGCGAAUAAGAAACUUCAAUUAAAAUCGGUAAAUAGAUAUCAAUCUCCAAAUCUAACAAAUUUCAAAAUACAUUCGAACAUCACACUUAGAAUUCAUUACACGACAUCAAAGUUGUUCGGUGAUACUUUUUUGAUAAACUAUAUUUUUUUAUACAACCUACCAUCCUACACAAACAUGACCUCUAUGCAAUAGAGUGACUCAAAGUGGAAGUCUAAGAGAUAACAUUACCUAUGUUGCAACAAGUAAAAAUAUGCUGAGGCAAUACAUGCGAGCUGAUCACUUAUCUAUAAAAAGGGGAAGAUAAGGGGGGUGAGUCUCACAGACCCAGUGGUCAUCGGCUCUAUGAGCAGGACGUAGAUGGGAAACAAGCCAAGGAUAGAAAACUUCAAUAUUAAAAACAUAUGAAUAUAUAAACAAUUUAAACUCAAAUGGAACAUUUGUGCCUUACAUAAAUACCAAAGAAUGUGAUUUAAAGUAACCAUUUCAUGUAAUAUAAUAAAAUCGGUGCAAUUAAAAGAUUUCUACCAUUGAAAUCAUUUAAUGUCCUUUACUUAAAAUCGAACUAACAUAAGCACGCAUGCUCCCGUAAAAUCAAGCAAUAUCAAUGCUUAUACACAAGCAUAUGAAUGAACUCAUACUUGAGGUAUUAAACACAAAACCAUCGUAUAAAUAAAGGAGUUGUGAAAAAAUCGAUAUUUCUCACCAUGCGAAAGAAUAUGUAUUUGAAAACUCCAAAGAGAUCACUCUCGAGUAAGUAAUCAACCCGUGGACCCACUUCCACAUAAUAACAUCCGAGAGGCCCCCCUCCACCGGAUUCCCACAGCCAUAGUAGUCUUGACGAUGUUGGCCGACAUUGGAGAAAUCAUGUGGUCACAACCACAUAUAUCAACUUGUGGCCUAGCCAUGUAUAUUAACCCGUGGCCUUGCCAUGUAUAUAUCACAGACCGCGACCUGGCCAUAUCUAACAGCUUGUAGGUGACCCAAUGGUUCUCUAGCUAGAGCUCACUUGUGCACAAGGGUCACACUAUUUCGAUGAGAUAUUCGGCCUACUCUCGAGUCUCUUGGUUUGACAAAGCCAUUUAUAACCAAAUUUGGGUUUUUAAAAGCUUAUUACCAACCCAUUUCAAAAACAAACCAUGGCAACGUUAUAAAUCCAUUUGUAAGAAUUCACAAUGUAAAACCUUUGCAUGAGGUUUAAGUAUUAAAUCAAGCAUGGUGAACAUAAAGCUUAUUCAUGAAUGCACAUCACAAAGACAAGUAAGUCACGUUUUGACAUAAAUCGUGUUAAAGAAUUUGUUUCCCGAUUUCUAAAACCCUUUACAUAUAUAGCUUAUAUAUAUACAAAACAAUUAAAAACAUGGCAUCCACAAAUGCCUAGCAUUCUACCAGUAUAUGCUAUCCAUAAUUGCGAGUACAAUCCAAUUGCAAAUUAAUUUGAAAUCGCCUAUUGGAACUAACAACUCAUGCUAUCCAUAAUUGCAUUUAAAGAAAAUUGGUAAUGUUUAUUAUACGUAUGUCAUUAUAUAAUUUAUGGAACUUUUAAAAGUAGAUACCCCUUACUCACCUCAUAGUGGUGGGAUGCUACUUUGCCAUUGAUUGGGUGAGUCUCUAGCUAAUUUUACUUACUAGUCACCCGUCACCUCCUUCGGUACAUUGCCACGACAAUCUUUCCUCACUUAUACACUUCUUAGCAUCAAAUUAAACUUAAUAUACUUAGUGAACGUCACCACAAUUUGGAUCAUAUUUAGCAUAUUCUUAGUUCUCUUUGUUUUCAAGAAUCCCGCACAAUAGCCGACCUUUCUCAUUAUGUUUACUUUCGUGUUUAUAUUCAAUUGUACACAUAUUUGGGCAGCACCUUAAUCAAUGAAUCUUUAAACUAAAUUCUCAUUUUUCACCCUUAUCAUUCAUAAUAAUCUAACAUGCAAUCUAUAAACUUUCAACUAACCAAUCCAAUAUAACAUAGCAUACCCGCAUUGCAUGCUCACCUUCCGAUUUACCUUGAAUAUCACAUGUAACUUAAUAACUCCUCACAUCCUCAGUCAUUAUUGCUGCCACAAGCACAAAUAAUCAGUACACAUUUCAUUUUUUUUUCCUUUCCACUUAUGAUCUCAAGGUUAGAAACACUUACCCAUCAUUUGUCUUGCUUUAAAUCACCAUACUUCUAUGAUUAACCCACAUGCAUGCACUUAGUUCUUUGAAUCCUUAAAGAUCUUUACUACCACAAGCACAAUCUCACAUCACAAUUGGUUCACGAGGCAUGCAUUCAAGCAAAAUGAUAGCUUUUACCUUCCUUACCCUUAAAUCACUAAGCCGAAUUUGAGAUCUCAACCUUUAGAGACCCGUAACUAGAAGUAGACACGAUAAUACUGACCAGGGGUAAUUUCAUCAUUUCUCCUAGUGAGCCCCUGAAAGUAGUUUUUUAAUGUUAUUAAGGUCCAAGUAGGCCUAAGGAAUGAAUGAAUGAGGGUAAGACAAUGAACAAGAUAGAAAUAACGAUAAUUUUCAUGGUAUGGGUAAAACAGUCAUUUUGCAUCUCGAGUUGAAAUUUUUAAGUUUUCAUGAACCCAAGCAUUUCUAGACCCUUAUGGACCUUGUCUUAGUGUCAAAGAAGUAAAAAGAUUGUAUAAAGGCAAUGGAAAGACAAAAUGACCUUGUUAAGGGCAUUUUGGUAAUUUCAUGAGAAAAUGGAUAAAUAUAAAGCAUAAAUAUCUAAGUUUCUAGGAGGUUCUUCAAAUUUCCAGCACUUCUUCUUCUUCCUUUCCCACGGUUUUGCACCCCCCAUGGAAGCUUGCUUUGAAUUUUCCAUAUAUUUCCUCUAGUUGUUUUUGAUUUUCAUGUUUUUGUGCACCCUUUCACAAAGUUCUUUGUGCUCUUUUACUUUUUCACAAUAAAACCCUUAAGAACCUUUCCUUAGUACACUUUCUCACUAGCUGGACAUUUUAGAGAGAGAAAGAGAGAGACUUUCCACAUUUGUUUGGAAGCUAUUGGAAGAGAAUUCAGCUAUAAAGAAACCUUAAGGUGAGUGAUGAACUAGGCUUGAUUUUAAGUUGUUGAUAAUGGCUAGUAAUGGGGAUUAUGAGUUGUUUUAUUGUUGAGGUUGUUUUUUCAUUUUUAGUGUGAUCAGAGUAGUGCAAGGAAUAGCCAUUUGAUAUAGUUGGAAGCCAAUUAAGAAUGACUAAUAGAACUUGAAUUAGAAACUAGCUUUUGGAGUGAUAUUUAUGUAAAUUGGAUUAGAUGUGAUGUUUUUAUGCGUGAUAGGUUCCAACGAGGCCCCACAACCCCAUUUGAACCAUUAGUGGAGGUUAGAGUUGAUUAGAGGUUCAACAAUACCGGUGCGUGAACUUGCAUUUCAAAAUUAUUUUGAAAAAUAGAAUUGUGUUGAGAUGAAUUAUUUGCAUGAUUUUAUCCAACUUUUCAUUACAAAUGGGUGCUUGGGAACAAGCACUUGAUAAAUGCUUUGAUGUUGUAAAAGGUGUGAAAUGUGUAAAGAGGAUGAAUUCAUGUGCUCCUAUAUUGUGUUGGUAUACAUAUUUGAAUGUAUGUUGUGCAAUGAUAAAAAAUGUUGUAUGAUGAUAAUGAGGUGUGCGAGUAGGGAGUGCACACAUGAUGACAUUAAAAUGUGCGAAUAGGGAGUGCACAUAUGGUGGUAUUGCCUUGUGCGUGUAGGGAGUGCACAAGAACUGAGGAAGGCGGGGUGGUGUAGGUGUUAUAUAUAAUUUAUAUCUCUAGAUAUGUGAUGGAAUGUGUGUGAUUGUAAAAUGUGAUUGUAUGGCAUGUUGAAAUUGGCAUGAUGAACCUUGAGAAUUUCUCAUUUUCUUGCAAAUUGAUUUUAUUGCAGCACCAAAUGGAUUUUUAGUGCAAAGGAGGUCCUUUUUACAUUUAAGUGCCUUGCUUCUCACUGCAGCAAGAAACAUUUUGUUUUGGCCGCUAGCAACUAGCUGCAGCGAGAAACUCUCGAGUUUUGGUGCAGUGCUUUCACUUUGAUGAAGAUUUUGACUACCUUCCCAUCCAAACUAGGAAAAGUGGUAAACAUAAAAGUUGUAUCCCUGCCUCUUAGAUUUCUAAUGGAUCAAAAAUUAGGUCAAUUGGACUUCUGUAGUGGGAGAUAUGCGAGAAAAAGUAAAACACAUUCAAACUAACACUGUUUCUCGCUGCAGCGAGAAACUUGCUGCCAUGCUUGCUACCUUGCUUGAUUUUGAUAUAUUUUUCACCCAUUUAACUUCAUGGAUUGAUCAUGGGUUUUUGCAAAACUAUGAGGUUAUUAAUCAAAGUUUGAAAAGAGGGGUUUUUAGUAAGAAAUUAAAUCAAUUACAUUGUUUUUGAAACAAGUGCAUCAUGAUUUCUAAAUUCUUCCUAUCGAUUGCUUGUUCCCUUCUUAUGUUCACUCAUUGAGUUUGUACUCACUAUUUUCAAUUUCAUGUUUUCAGAUCAGGAGGCAGUUGGAACCUGGGUCGAGGUGUCCACGUAGUUUUGUCUCCUUGGUAGGUAUUUUGGCAUUCAGUAGCUGCAUCUUCACUGUGGUCACUUCGCUGGAAGUCAAGAGUCCUUUUGUUUUAUGAAUAAAUUCAUGUGAUGUAAAGUACUAAGAUACAUAUCUUAGACAAGAUAUGUAUAUUUUAAUUGUUAAAGCUACCAUGAGUUGAAAUGUUAACAUCAUUUUGGGUUUAUAAUGAAAUUCUUGAUUGCUAUAGCCCAUUAUUAAAGUGAUUAUAAGUUGGACUUAUGAAAGGUGACUUGAGAAUAGUUGAUGGAAUGUUGAGCAAGAUUAUAUAAUACGCUUGCUUGGGCUUGGUGGGCUAUGCCUAUUGGACCCAUGUGCUGAUCAUGGCCCAAAAAUUGGGUCGUGACAUACUUGGUAUCAGAGCCCUAGGUUGUUUAGGUCUUAGGACUUCCUUAUUGUUGGUCUAGCGAAGUGUCGGGUCUUUAUGUGAAAACUUCGAUUGUGAAGUGUGAAUCGUGACACAUUUAAUAACCAAGGGACCACAUAGAUUCCUUAUUUUAGAAACCACCUUUUCCUAUAUGUAUGAUUAUAGAAAAAUGUGUUUAAUAAUAGGUGUUUGCUCUUGUGUAGGUAAGAAUGCCGCCUAAGAAACGAGGUGCCUCAAGAUGGAUGGGGGAGCAAGAUGCUCUUAAUGAAAUGAUAGAUAGGCCACGGGCAUCCACCCUUAAGGGGCGAGGUAAACGUGGCGGGGCCACUAGGUCAGUGAGGGCCAAUACUCCUGUGAGUAGACGAGAGGAGGGACAGUCGUCGAGUGAUGUGGAUAGAUAACCAACUGGGGGCAUUACCAUCGAGGACUUGGCCACAGGCCUGCAGGGAGUUAAACGAAUUGUAGAGAUGAUGGCAGCCUGUAUGGAUGAUAUACAAAAAGUAGUGGAGGGGAUACCUAUAGUAUAAGAAUCCCCUAGUUCUCAAGGGCAGGUCGAACGCCAACAUCUUGAGGUCGAUAGGGGUCAUUUAGAGAUUUCUCUUCCUGAUUUUCUCAAGCUUAAGCCUCCAUCAUUUUCAGGGUCUGAUGCAUCGGAGAAACCCUAGAUUUUCUUAGAUAAGAUGGAGAAGAUUUGUAAAACCUUGGGAUGUUCCAGUGUCCGAUCAGUCGAGCUAGCUGCCUUCCUAUUAGAGGACGUGGCGCAAAAGUGGUAUAGUUCCUUAUGUAGAGGUAGACCAAUGGAUGCAUCACCAUUGACUUGGAGUGAGUUCAGUACAACAUUUUUAGAUCGAUUUUUAACACUCAAUGUACGUAAUGCCAGAGCCAGGGAGUUUAAAGCUUUGGUACAGAGCUCGAGUAUGACAGUGUCUGAUUACGACAUACAAUUCACACAGUUAUCUCGGUAUGCGCCUUAUUUAGUUUCUACAGAGGAGAUAAAGAUACAGAGGGUUGUGGAUGGGCUAGUGGAGCCAUUGUUUAAUGCUGUGGCAUCCCGAGAUUUCAGUACUUACUUCGCAGCAGUGGAUUAUGCUCAGUGGAUUGAGAUGAGGACCAGUGAGAGUAGGGCUGUGAGGGAUAAAGUGUAAAGGGCCAAGACAGAGAGCUAUCAAGGUCGCAGGGAUUUCAGUAAUGGUAUUUCAUCUUCUAGUCGUCAGGGCCCACAGAAGGAAUCACGGUUACCUCAAUGGGGGAGUGAUGUGGCUAGUGCUAGUGUUGGAUCAGGGCAGAAAACCUUUGGUGGGGGAAGGCAGCAAGAUUCAAGGCAGAGUAGUCAAGUUAUCAACCCUUGUAGUACUUGUGGGGUACGACAUAAGGGACGAUGUUUUCUUUCUACAAGAGUUUAUUUCAGGUGUGGUUAACUUGGACAUAUUAGGAGGAAUUGCCUGAUGACUCAUCAAUCACAAGGUUCUGCUCCCAGCUCUACCCGGCCAGCUUCGUCUGCUUCUUCAAUUGUCACCCUAUCUGAUCCGGAGGCUAGUAGAUUAAGAGGUAAAGGUGCUGUCACUUCCUCUCAAGGUAAGCCUUUUGGGUUUGGACAUCAGAGUGCUACUUGUAGAGGUCAAGUGAGGGUAUAUGCUGUAACACCCCAAGAGGCCCAUACAUCCAAUGCAGUGGUCUCAAGUACUCUUUCCGUUUGUAAUAUGAAUGCUCGAGUAUUGUUUGAUCCUGGUGCUACCCACUUUUUUAUUUCUUCAUGCUUUACAUCUCGUUUGGGUAAUGAUUUUGUUAGGAAAGAAGAACAAUUAGUGGUGUCUACUCCUUUAAAUGAGGUAUUUGUGGCUGAAUGAGAAUAUGAGUCCUGUGUAGUUCGAGUCAAGGACAAGGAUACUUUGGUGAAUCUAGUGGUGUUAGACACCUUAGACUUAGAUGUGAUCUUGGGAAUGGAUUAGCUAUCACCCUGCCACGCCAGUGUGGAUUGUUAUCAUCAAUUGGUUAGAUUUGAUUUUCCCGGUGAACCAUCAUUUAGUAUUCAAGGGGAUAGGAGUAAUGCUCCAACCAAUUUGAUAUCGAUCAUGUCUAGCAGAAGGUUGUUAAGAUAGGGUUGUUUAGGUUACUUGGCUGUGGUAAGGGAUACUCAAGCGAAGUUGGAGAUAUAAGCCAAGUGUCGGUGGUGAAUGAGUUCAUGGAUGUAUUUCCUGAGGAACUACCAAGUUUGCCUCCCAAAGGAGAGAUUGAAUUUUGCAUAGAUUUGAUUCCCGACACUAGACUUGUAUCCAUACCCCCAUAUAGAAUGGCACCGAUGGAGCUUAAGGAACUUAUGGAUCAGUUGGAGGAUUUGUUAGAUAAAGGCUUCAUUCGCCCCAGCGUCUCACCAUGGGAAGCACCGGUGCUAUUUGUAAAGAAGAAAGAUGGGUCACUUAGAUUAUGUAUUGACUACCGACAACUUAAUAAGGUAACAGUGAAGAAUAAGUACCUCCUUCCAAGAAUAGAUGAUUUAUUUGAUCAACUACAAGGAGCACAAUGUUUCUCUAAAAUAGAUCUAUGAUCUGGGUACCAUCAGUUGAGGAUCCGGAAUGACGAUAUACCCAAGACCACAUUUCGAACAAGAUAUGGGCACUAUGAGUUCUUGGUGAUGUCAUUUGGGCUUACGAAUGCACCUGCAGCCUUUAUGGAUUUGAUGAAUUGAGUGUUCAAGCCCUAUUUGGACAAGUUCAUGGUGGUGUUUAUUAACGACAUCUUGAUCUACUCGAGGAACAGAGAGGAACACAAGCAGUGUCUUAAGAUAGUGCUCCAAACUUUGAGAGAACAUCGAUUGUAUGCCAAGUUCUCCAAGUGUGAGUUCUGGCUUGAAAGCGUUGCAUUCUUGGGACAUGUGGUAUCCAAAGAUGGGGUACAAGUCGAUCUAAAGAAAGUCGAGGUAGUGGAAAAGUGGCCAAAGCCAACAUCAAUUACGGAGAUUAGAAGCUUUUUGGGUUUGGCUGGCUAUUAUCGUUGUUUUGUGAAGGACUUCUCCAAAAUAGUCACCCCUUUGACUAAGCUGACACGUAAAGAUACAAAAUUUGAGUGGUCAGAUGCUUGUGAGGAUAGCUUUGAGAAGCUUAAGGCAUGUCUCACCACAGCUCCAGUAUUAAGCCUACCGCAAGGCACAAGGGGUUAUACAGUAUUUUGUGAUGCAUCACGGGUUGGUUUAGGGUGUGUAUUAAUGUUGCAUGGGAAGGUAAUCGCAUAUGCAUCAAGACAACUUAAAAGGCAUGAGAAAAAGUACCCCGUACACAAUUUGGAGAUGGAAGCAAUCGUGUUCGCCUUAAAGAUUUGGAGACAUUACUUGUAUGGUGAGACUUACGAGAUAUAUACGAAUCACAAAAGCUUGAAGUAUAUAUUUCAACAAAGGGAUCUUAACUUGUGGCAACGUAGGUGGAUGGAGUUGCUAAAGGAUUAUGAUUGUACUAUUCUUUACCAUCCUAGUAAGGUAAAUGUGGUGGCAGAUGCCUUGAGUCGAAAAUCAAUGGGGAGUCUGGCACAUAUCUCUAUAGAUAUGAGACCUUUGAUUAAGGAGAUGCAUAGCUUGGGAGACGUGGGUGUUCAUUUAAAAGUUUCAAAUGCAAAUGCAUUGCUAGCACAUUUUAAAGUGGGGCCUAUCUUAAUGGACUGGAUCAAAGAAGCACAAAGUAAAGAUGAGUUCGUAGCUAAGGCCUUAGAGAACCUUCAAGGAAGGAAAGGAAAGAUGUUUACUAAAGGCACUGAUGGAGUAUUGAGGUAUGGAACUAGACUUUAUGUGCCCGCUAGUGAUGGAUUGAGGAGAGAAAUAUUGGAAGAAGUGGACAUGGCAACCUAUGUAGUACAUCCAGGGGCUACAAAGAUGUAUCAAGAUUUGAGGGAGGUGUAUUGGUGGGAAAGACUCAAGAAAGAUGUAGCUGAGUUUGUCUCUAAGUGCCUGGUUUGUUAACAAGUGGGCAAAACAUCAAAGGCCCGCGGGAGUACUACAACCGUUACUAGUGCCUGAAUGGAAGUGAAAGCAUAUUGCAAUGGACUUUGUAAUGGGUUUGCCUCGAACUAGUGAGGGCUAUGACUUGAUCUGGGUCAUAGUGGACCGGUUAACGAAAUCAGCUCAUUUCCUUCCAAUUAAAACUACAUACGGGGCCGCCCAGUACACCCAACUUUAUGUAGACGAGGUAAUAAGGCUGCAUGGCAUUUCUAUUUCUAUAGUAUCUGACAGGGGGGCAUAAUUCACCAAUAGGUUCUAGGAAAAGUUGCAGGAAGCGUUGGGCACUAAGUUAGAUUUUAGCACGGCUUUCCACCCAUAAACAGAUGGCUAGUCUGAACAAACGAUACAAACAUUGUAAGAUAUGUUGAGGGCCUAUGUAAAGACCUUGGGGUCAGGUGGGAUCGAUAUCUACCCUUAGUGGAGUUUGCCUACAACAACAGUUUCCAAACUAGUAUCCAAAUGGCACCAUUUGAAGCAUUAUGUGGACGAAGAUGUAGGUCGCCCAUUGGAUGGCUAGAGAUGGGAGAAAGAAAACUCUUGGGGCCUGAGUUGGUGUAGGACGCCACCGAGAAGAUACAUAUGAUUCGACAGAGGAUGUUGUCAGCACAAAGUAGACAAAAAUCAUAUACUGAUAACAGACGGAGAGACUUGGAGUUUUAGGUAGGGGAUCAUGUAUUUUUUAAGGUCUCACCAACAAAAGGGGUAAUAAGGUUCUGCAAGAAAGGAAAAUUGAGCCCUCGGUAUAUAGGACCCUUCAAGAUCUUAGAAAGGGUUGGAGCAGUAGCAUAUCGGUUGGCAUUAUCGCUAAACCUUUCGAAUAUUCACCCCGUGUUUCAUGUGUCAAUGCUUAGGAAGUAUAACCCGAAUCCAUCUCAUGUAAUACGGUAUGAGACCAUCCAGCUGAAAGAUAAUUUGACCUAUGAGGAGUAACCGGUAGCUAUCUUUAAUCGGCAAGUCAAAAAGCUCCGUUCAAAGGCUGUAGCAUCAGUGAAAGUGUUAUGGCGAAACCACACCAGUGAGGAGGUAACGUGGGAAAUCGAAGACGAGAUACAGGCAAAGUAUCCACACCUCUUUAAUGUAUAGAGGUAAGCUACCUUAUAGUUGGAUUUAAAUUCGGGGAUUGAAUUUCUUUUAGUGGGGGAGAAUGUGAGAUCUUGACUUCUAGAGACCCGUAACUAGAAGUAAAUGCGAUAAUAAGGACCAAGGGUAAUUUCAUCAUUUCUCUUGGUGAGCCUCUGAAAGUAGUUUUCUAAUCUUAUUAAAGUUCAAGUAGGCCUAAGGAAUGAAUGAAUAAGGGUAAGAUAAUGAAGAAGAUAGAAAUAACGAUAAUUUUCAUGGUAGGGGUAAAACAGUCAUUUUGCAUCUUGAGUUGAAAUUUUUAAGUUUUCAUGAACCCGAACAUUCUAGACCCUUAUGGACCUUGUCUCAGUGUUAAAGAAGUAAAAAGAUUGUAUAAAGGCAAUGGAAAGACAAAAUGACCUUGUUAAGGGCAUUUUGGUAAUUUCAUGAGAAAAUGGAUAAACAUAAAGCAUAAAUAUCUAAGUUCCUAGGAGGUUUUUCAAAUUUCCAGCACUUUUUCUUCUUCUUCUUCCUUUCCCACAUUUUUGCAUCCCCCAUGGCAGCUUGCUUUGAAACUUCCAUAUAUUUCCUCGAGUUAACCCCGAUUUUCAUGUUUUUGUGCACCCUUUUCACUAAGUUCUUUGUGCUCUUUUGCUUUUUCACCAUAAAACCAUAAAAAACCUUUCCUUAUUACACUCUCUCACUAGUUGGACAUUCUAGAGAGAGAGAGAGAGAGAGAGAGAGAGAGAGAGAGAGAGAGAGAGACUUUCCACAUUUGUUUGGAAGCUAUUGGAAGAGAAUUUAGCUACAAAGAAACCCUAAGGUGAGUGAUGAACUAGGCUUGGUUUUAAGUUGUUGAUAAUGGCUAGUAAUUGAGAUUAUGAGCUGUUUUAUUGUUGAGGUUGUUUAUUCUUUUUUAGUGUGAUUAGAGUAGAGCAAGGAAUAGCCAUUUGAUAUAAUUGGAAGCUAAUUAGGAAUGACUAGUAGAACUUGAAUUAGAAACUAGCUUUUGGAGUGAUAUUAAUGUAAAUUGGAUUGGUUAUGAUGUUUUUGUGCGUGAUAGGUUCCAACAAGGCCCCACAGCCCCAUUUGAACCAUUAGUGGAGGUUAGAGUUAAUUAGAGGUUCAACAAUACCGGUGAGUGAACUUGCAUUUCAAAAUUGUUUUGGAAAAUAGAAUUGUGUUGAGAUGAAUUAUUUGCUUGAUUUUAUCCAACUUUUCUUUACAAAUUGGUGCUUGGGAACAAGCCCUUGAUAAAUGCUUUGAUGUUGUAAAAGGUGUGAAAUGUGUAAAGAGGAUGAAUUCAUAUGCUCCUAUAUUGUGUUGGUAUACAUAUUUGAAUGUAUGUUGUGCAAUGAUAAAUAAUGUUGUAUGAUGAUAAUGAGGUGUGCGAGUAGGGAGUGUACACAUGAUGACAUUGAAAUGUGCAAGUAAGGAGUGCACAUAUGGUGGUAUUGCCUUGUACGUGUAGGGAGUGCACAAGAGUUGAGGAAGGCGGGGUGGUGUAGGUGUUAUAUAUGAUUAUAUCUAUAGAUAUGUGAUAGAAUGUGUGUGAUUGUAUGGCAUGUUGAAAUUGGCAUGAUGAACCUUGAGAAUUUCCCAUUUUCUUGCAAAUUGAUUUUAUUGUAGCACCAAAUAGAUUUUAGUGCAAAGGAGGUCCUUUCUACAUUUAAGUGCCCUGCUUCUUGCUACAGCAAGAAAGCAUUCUCGUUGCAGUGAGAAACAUUUUGUUUUGGUCGUCAACAACUCGCUACAGUGAGAAUAAAUCUCGCUGCAGCGAGAAACUCUCAAGUUCUAGUGUAGUGUUUUCACUUCAAUGAAGAUUUUGACCACAUUCCUGUCUGAACUAGGAAAAGUAGUAAACAUAAAAGUUGUAUCCCUACCUCUUAGAUUUCUAAUGGUUUAAAAAUCAGGUCAAUUGGACUUCUAUAGUGGGAGAUAUGCUAGAAAAAGUAAAACACAUGUAAACUGACACUAUUUCUCGUUGCAGCGAGAAACUUGCUGCCAUGCUUGCUACCUUGCUUGAUUUUGACAUAUUUUUCACCCAUUUAACUUCAUGGAUUGAUCAUGGGUUUUUGCAACACUAUGAGGUUAUUAAUCAAAGUUUGAAAUGAGGGGUUUUUAGUAAGAAAUUAAAUCAAUUGCAUUGUUUUUGAAAUAAGUGCAUCAUGAUUUCUAAAUUCUUCCUAUCGAUUGCUUGUUCCCUUCUUAUGUUCACUCAUUGCGUUUGUACUUAUUGUUUUCAAUUUCAUGUUUUCAGAUCAGGAGGUAGUUGGAACCUAGGUCGAGGUGUCCACGUAGUUUCGUCUCCUUGGUAGGUAUUUUGGCAUUCAGUAGCCGCACCUUCACUAUGGUCACUCUGCUGGAAGUCAAGAGUCAUUUUGUUUUAUGUAUACGUUCAUGUGAUGUAAAGUCUAAGAUACGUGUCUUAGACAAAAUAUGUAUAUUUUAACUGUUAAAGCCACCAUGAGUUGAAAUGUUAACAUCAUUUUGGGUUUAUAUUAAUGAAAUUCUUGAUUGUUAUAAUCCAUUAUUAAAGUGAUUAUAAGUUGAACUUAUGAAAGGUGACUUGAGAAUAGUUGAUGGAAUGUUGAGCAAGAUUAUAUAAUAGGCUUGCUUGGGCUUUGUGGGCUAUGCCCAUUGGGCCCAUGCAUCGGUCAUGGCUCGAAAAUUGGGUGGUGACACCGAAACACCAAUUUUUUUCCUUCAAGCUUCAAUAAUGGCAUAUGGGACGAAACCUUUCAAUUUUUCUCCAAUUUCUCCAAGCUGACCUUUCUUUCUUUUUCUCCUCUCCUUUCUUUUUUCUUUUUUCUCUUUGCUUUCCUCUCGGGUGGAGCUCUCAAGGUUGAUCCCUUUUCUCUUUUUCCUCUUAAAGGCACGGGUGUCCCAAGCCUUUCCCCACAUUUCUCUUUAUUUUAUUCCUCACUUCUCAUUGGACCAAUUCAUCACCCAUUCAAUUUUCAUGCACGAAUUUUCUUCCUUGUUCAUUAACCCAAUAGCUAUCUUCAUUUAUCUUCUCCAUCCGCCACCUUCACUACCUCAUCCUUUCUUUCUUCAUUCUUUAUUUCAUGCACCACCUUAUUCAUCCAAUCAUAUUUCAUUCACAACCUUUUCUUUAUAUUUUAUUUGGUCAUUCAUUAAACUAUUCAAGUCACAUGCAUCCCACUUUUUUCUUUCCUCAUUUGGCCACCUAAUACAACAAUCUUGUUACAUGCAAUAGGAUUUAUUCUUAUUCUUUUUUUUUAUUUCACAUGAUGGGGGUCCCACAUGUUUCCCACUAACUAUUUCCUUUUUGCAUGCAAUAAUUUGCAUAUAAUAGUGAAUCCAUAUGCACAUUUCAUUAUCCCACAUAUCCUCAUUAUCUCAAUUAAUUCUCCAUGUCUCCAUUCCUUCCAAACUCACAUAUAUUAUUAUUAAUACUUAUAUCACUAAAAUUUCACUCAUUAAAUUAAUAUUCUAGAAUCAAUAAAAUAAUAUUUUAUUCACCAAAUCAUCAAAAUUAUAUUAUAACUCCCCCACUUAAGUUUAAUGCUUAAAUUAUGUGAGUCUGUCCAUCACUCACAAUAAAAAUAUCUCAAUAUUAUUUUAAUAAUAUUUUACUAAUAAAAUAUUAUUUAAUUCUAAAAUUUUCCAUCUGGCUUUCGAGGUUCCAAAACAUUUUAAUUUAUCCUGGUUUAGCUCCAUCACUCCUUUUUACUCCAUAACAAUUGCCUUAAUAAAAUAUUAUUAUUUUAUUAUACGUGGAAUAUUUUAUUUUAAAAUAUUUUUGUCCUCCUUUACCCUCAUAAACUCCUUCAUUAACCUCAAUUGGGCUUAGUCUUGUGCCUAAAGUCAUAUUAACUACCGUUUUAGGUCACAAGGUGUUACGACCCAGCCCGAAAAUAAAACCUCGCCCCCCUUCUGAUCCAUUCAUUUCUACAAGUAGGGGGGGUCUAGAGUUAAGCCUCCCUUUUAUUAUAUAACCUAAAAAAGAGAGCUAUAAGCAAAGUACCAAAGUGGUUGCGAGAACGAUAUGCUUUGGUUACCGAUGAAUGAUACCAAAGGCGACCCUUUCGAGUUUUCGGCUAUUUCCUAGAUUGAAGUAGCCUUUUGUCACCCUAGCAAAUGAAAGAAGUGACUAUCAAAUAACUUGCCCUACUAAAGUACCAAAGGUGCACUCCGCCUGGUGACUAAGAAAGAAAUGGGUUUGCACUUAAAUUGAAGUGAUGAGGUCACAAAGAAGGAAGAGGGCUCCUAUUGAAACGCUUUCCUUUCCUCAACGACCAACUUUCAAUACUAGUUGUUACGUUAUGUUGCAUUUUUUCCAAUAUCAUUGAAUAGCAUGGCCUAGAGCUACAGUAACUCAAGUGGGAGAGCUGUGUUAUGGGGGACCUUAUUGCACGGUUUAGAGAGCACUUGUGUAUGUGAUGCAAGUGAAUGUGUAUGAAAAAGCUGUCAUAAAGUUCAUUGUUCAUUUCGUCUUUGACCCUCUCUAUGUUUCUAUGAUGGCCCAAGAACACGUUCAUUCUUCAGCUGUAGAGAGACUUUUGAAUUACGAGGUACCAUUACAAGCUCAAUAAAUACGAGUGUUAUUCAGUGAAAUAACUUGAAUUUUAAAUCAUUCACUUGCUUUAACUACUCUUGCCAUGGAUGUGGGAGCAUCAACUCCAUUCUUGUAGGCUUUUGAGGACCAGAACAAAUUGUUGGAAUUAUAUGAAAGAGUCUCGAGAGUGAGGAUGCAUGCCAAUUUCAUAUGAUCAGGUGGAGUGGCACAAGAUCUGCCUCUUGGCUUAUGUCAAGAUAUUGAUUCCUCCACACAACAAUUUGCUUCUCGUAUCGAUGAAUUAAAAGAGAUGUCAACCGCCAACUAUAUUUGGAAAUAACGAUUAAUGGAUAUUGGUACUGUCACUGCACAACAAGCAAAGGAUUGGGAAUUCAGUGGUGUAAUGUUAAGAGGUCAUGCAACAUGAAGACAUUGAUAGCAACAUGAGGGAAGUUCCCAUCAGGCAACAACGAUUCUGGCUGACCCUACUUAAGCAUGAGUAUUAUGUCAGUGAAGACUUGGUGUGAAGCCUUGGAGCUUACGUUAGGAGAGUAAAAGGCUCGGGGCUAAGGUGAGCUAUCAAUGAUCUCAGGUUAUGUUUAUAUUGGCCCGGAUCUAGGAUCUGGGGCUACGUUAGAACCAAAUAAAUUUUGGUUCAUCUAUUAUAUUGGUCAAGACACAUGCUUACAUGACUUUUCAUUUUGCUUGACCUUAAGGUUUGAAGUCUAAAACUCGACCUGAGCUAUGCAUUUGAAUAUGAAUUUAAUUAUCAAGGUUGAUCAUGGCAUAUAUUGUGAGUUGAGAUAGUUGAAAUUUAUUUUGAAUAUGCAUUUAAAUGUUAACUAUAUCUUCAUUGAGCCUUAAUGUUUACAUGAUCUAAAGAUUUUGUGUGGAUCCAACUUUAGCUUAUCGUUCACCAUAAACAACAUGACAUGUCAAAUAAAAUAUGGCCUAUAGCUUUAGUUAGCAAUGAAUGCCUAAUGUGCUUUGAUUAACUAUCUCUUUCUUGAAUCUUGAUAAUUGGUAAUCAUUGAUGAUUGAAUGUUCACUUUGAAUAUAUUCAUGAGUUGAGUGCUUUAUUUUCAAUUUUUUUUAGUAUCACUCAUGAAUUAUGAAGAAUAUUGAGAAAUAGCAUGUACCACAUUAAAAUUCAAUGCUUGUAUUUUUUUUCGUAUAUGUCUAUAUAUUUGUGAAAAAAUGGAAUCAUGAUUAAUGAAGAUAGCCAUUUAUUUUUUGUGGGCAUGCUAGUGCUUACUUGAUCACAAUAUUCUCUUACAUCAUUGCAAUAAGUUUAAAAUGCAUUGGUCAUGCUUCAUUAAUAAUGAUAUGCUUUUUGUGAAAGUUCUCCUUGAAUUGAUAAUUUCAUAUAUAAUUUGGAGAUUACAUCUUGCAAUGCUUGCUUCAAAAUGACUUGGAUGAAUGGCCACUUGAAAAUGAUUUGGAAAAAUGCUCGCUAAAAAUGCUUAAUGAUGAUAAUUUUUUUAAUUUCACCUUGAGUUGUUAUCUUUAUUUAUGAAUUAGGGAAUUUCCUAGAAAUGCUUGAUUAAUACUACUUGGUUGAUUGAUAUUGAGAAUAAAUAAUGAAUGCUUGAUGAUGAUUAAUUGUUGAUAAUACUUGAUGAUAAUUGAGAAUGAUGCUUGAAGACUAAUGAUACCUUAGACAUGCUUAGGAACUACUUUGCAAAUAUUUCUUGAAAUAUGAGUAUUUGAUGCAUAUGUUGAACAUUUAUUCAAAUGCUCAUACUCUUUUGGUUCCAUGAAUACUUGAGUAUUAGAAAAAUAAAUUGAAUAUCCAUUUAAAUGCUCAUUUAUUCUAGGCUCAUGAUUUCUUUCAUAAUAUUUGAUCUAUUAAGGAUCUCUAACAAUUGGUGUUGAGCUUAUGAUUUCUUAAGGGGCAGUCAAUCAUUGUCAUUAAUAUCAUAAGGAAUUAAGAACUUCAACAAUAAGGUUUGGUGAGAAUUCAACAUUUGGUGUUCGUCGCUACCUGUAACAUCUUUCUAAACACCAAAAUAGAUAUUGUGCCUUAUAUUGCUUCUCACUUAAACUUAAAUGUUGAAAUGCAUAAUUGUUAUCAAGCCUUAAGUUUUCUCAAUUAGUGUCUAGCUUUAAAAUUAGCAUCAAGCUUUAUAAUUGUCUCUUCUCACUUGUGCUUUAAAUUGAUCAUAUUUUUCUUAAAUAUUUUGAGACUCGAAGUUGAUACGCUUGGAAUGCUUAAUGAUAAGGGAAGUCUUUACUAGUGCUUUACCAAUUGAUAUAUGGAGCUGUAAAAUGAUUCCAUAUCUCAUAAUUGAUAUUGUGCUUUUACAAAGGAAAAUUUUACUUAUAUCUAUUAAUUGGUAUAUUGAGCUUUAACACUUGGUAUUAGAGUUGAAAUAUGGCUUAUGUUCUUAUUGAACAUCUUUAUGAUUAUCUUUCUUGAACUUCAUAAUUGUUAUGUCCACAUUUUCCUUAUAGAUAUAUGUACAUGUGGCUUUUUUAUUGAUAAAUCUCUUGAUGAAUUAAUACUUGAAUGUGCUUAAUGGGUAUAUUUUUUAAUGACUUGGUUGAGGAUAUUAAGUGCAUAUAUAUAUGAUGACUUGGUGACUUUAUAGUUACAUAUCCAUGGUCUUAAUGCUUAUAUUCUUGAUGGAUUUUCCUAACCAUUAUUUCUUGAGCUUAAAAAGUUUAAUGCUCACUCUUCUUAACCUUUAUUGAUAUAACAAAAAGGGGGAGAAGGUUUAUGAGCAAAUUUAAUUUUAUGCAUAUGUUGAGGGGGAGAUUUUAAAAUCAUUUCAAAUGCAAAUUCUGCUCAUAGUUUUGUCAUAUCAAAAAGGGGGAGAUUGUUAGCUUUAAAAUUAUUAUAGUUUUGAUUAUGACAAAAUGAACAAAUUUGCUUGAACAUUAUUUGAGUGAUCCUUGACAAAUUCUUGAAAUGAUUUAACUCCCAAACAUUUGUUCUUCCAUAGUUACAAGCUUAAAUCUUGAAGUUACUGAACUAUAUCUAUAAGCUUUUAUGACUUAGGCAUACGAGUGCUUAUGAUUCUCAUUCAUUAAUGUCUGAUUUAAGGAUUAAAUGAAAAUCUAAAUGCACUCAUUAAGGGGAGUUUUGAAUAUCUUUUUUAAUGAUGACAAAAAAAGUGAGAAGGAAGACUAAGUUAAAUAGAGUUUGAUAGGUCUUCAUGUUUAAUUUAUGUGUGUGAUACUUAGUUAUGGUUUUGUUGAAUAUUAUGUGCUAGUUAUUAUAGUAUUCAAUAUAUCUUGCUUAGCUACUAUGAAUAUUGUAUAUCUUGAUUAGCUAUUGUGGAUAUUAUAAAUAUUUUAUUGCAAAUCUUUAAAGAAAACUAAAUGCAUUAACUAAAGGGGAGUAACUCAUUAUGCAUAAAGAUUUGAAGCAUUCAUAUUGAACAUGGACAUUGCACUCUUAAUCUAGAAGUAUUUUGUUAUCAUUAAAAAAAAAGAGAGAGAGAAUGUUGACUCAUUGUGUUUUUGAUGAUAACAAAACAUUUCUAUUCAUUGGUAUCUAAUUAUAUUAUUUAAGUGUGUAGGAGAAAGCUUAAAUUCAUUAAUACAUUUGGUAUUUGAAAGCAAGUUAAGAUGCUUGUUCAGUUGCAAGAUGGGUUAAUUGGUAAAACAAGCAAAAAAGAAAGAGCUUUAAUGAAGACAGAUUAGUCUUAACCGAUUAACAUAAAUUUUUAAUUAAUUAAAGCAAUUCUGGGCACUACACUUGUAACCACCUUCUCCUUGAUUGUUAUCGACGUUCGAGACUUGCGAGUGAGCCUGGCAAAUCCCGAACAAGCCUUAGUUGAGAUUCCUGUUACUUAGUUUGGAUAUUUUAAUGCGUAUACAAGUCAACUUGUAAUAAUGUUGCCAAUUGCUUAAAUCGAAUAAAAUGUUGUCAUCCAGACAUAGCGACUAAAUAACCAUUGUCCAACUCUAGUAGAUUUUAAAACAAAUUCAAACAUACUUAAUAUUCAUUACACAAACUUAAGGUUUUAGCAAUACAUUACAGAUAAACUAAUAAUUUUUAUAAGUCUAACUGUUUUACACAACAUGACCCCUAUGCAGCGGAACGACUUAGAGUGGAAGUCUAAGAGAUACCAUUACCUACGUCUCAGUGAAACAAAAUAAUGUCGGAGUAAUACACUUGAGCUGAUCACUUAUCUGCAAAAGGAAGAUAAAGAGGGUGAGUCCCAUAGACUCAGUGAUCAUCGGCUCAGUGAGCAGGGCGUAGAUGGGAAACAAGCUAGGGAUAGAAAAUUUAAAUAUUAAAACAUAAGAGCAUAUAUAAAAAAUUUAACUCAAAAAGAAGUUUUGUGCCAUACAUGAAAACCAAGAAUUUUAAUGCAAGAUAAUAAUUUAAAUCAAGUAUCAAAACCAGUACAAGUAAAGAUUUCUACCAUCGAAAUCAUUUAACAACUUUACUGAAAGCGAAUCAGUAUAAUCACGCAUGCUCCCGUGGAAUCAAACAUUACUAAAACUUAUACACAAGUUCGCAAAUCAUCUCGGCGUCGAGAAGUUUAAAAACAAAAUCACUGUAUAAAACACGGAGUUGUGGAACAACUGUCAUCCUCACCAUGCGAAAAGAAUUCAUGUUUAAAAACCCAAAGAGACAUCGCUCUUAAGUAGAUAAUCAUAGUAAAUCACUCGUGGACCCGCUUCCAUGUAAUAACAAUCUGGGAGGUUCUCUUUCACCUGAUUCCCACAACAAUGGCAGUCUCGAUGAUGUUGGCUGAUAUCAGAGAAAUCAAGUGGUCGCAACCACGUAUAACAACUUGUGGCCUAGCCAUGUAUAUAUAUCACAGAUUGUGGCCCAAACCACGUCUAACAGCCCAUCGGUGACCCAAAGGUUCUCUAGCUAGAGCUCACUUGUGCACAAGGGUCACACUAUCCCGAUGUAACAUUUGACCUACUAUCGAAUCUCCCGGUUUGGUAAAACCAUUUAAAAAUCAAGUUGGGUUCCUAAAAGCUGAUUUCAAAUCCAUUUCAAAAGUACCAAUCAUGGUAACGUGAUAAAACCUCUUUUUGUAAGACUUUGCAAUGUAAAACCUUUGUAUGAGGUUUAAAUACCAAAUCAGCAUGGUGAAUAUGUAAUUUAUUCAUGAAUGCACAUUACACAACCAAUAAGGCACAUUUUGAUGUAAACCGUGUUAAAGAGCUUGUUUCCCGAUUUCUAAAACCCUUUACAUAUAUGGCUAUAUAUACAUAUAUGCAAAACCUUGUUAAAAGCAUGACAUUCACAAGCCUAACAUUCUACCAACUUAUGCUGUCCACAAUUGAACUUAAAGUAAACCAACACCUCUAUUAAUCAUAUAUUGACAUAUAUUUAUGGAAAUUUUAAAAUAGACACACCCUACUAACCUUACAAUAGCAGGACACUAUGUCACUAUCGAUUUGGGUGUGUAUCUAGCUAAUUCUACUUGCCGAUCACCUGUUACCUCCUCCGGCACGCCACCAUAGCACAUUUUCCUGACUUAUACACUUCCUAGCAACCAUUCAAACCUAAUACACUUAAUUAUACUUGAAAACAAGUAGCACAUCAAUCAAUAAAUCCUUAACCUAAUUUCAUAGUUUUCAUCAACAUUAUUCAAAAUCAUUUAACAUACAAUCCACAUACUUUCAACCAACCAAAGCCAACACAACACAAUGUAGUCACAUUGCAUGCUUACCUCUUGGUUUUAGCUUGAAUUCCACAUAUAGUUCACCAUUUCCUCACACCCUCGGUCACCAUUGCUGCCACAAGCAUAGACAAUUAAUACACGUCUCAUUUCCCUUGUCUACUUGUGAUUUCAAGACUAAAACACUUACACAUUGCUUAUCUAGCUCAAAAUCACCAUGCAUUCCAAGAUCCACCUACAUGCAUGCACCCGGUUCUUGAAUCCUUGAAGAUUCUUUUUGUCACAAGCAAAAUUUCACAUUAUAAUUGGUUCAAGAAGCAUGCAUUUAAACAAAAUGAUAAUUUUUACCUUCCUUACCUUGGGAUCUAUAAGCCAAACCACAAAGGUCUCUUUAAACUCCAACAAUGGCAUGUGUGGGGAGGAAAACCUCUCGGCUUUUCUCCAACUCCUCCAAAAUUGAGCCUCCCUUUUAGCUUUCCUUCUUUCUCCCUUCUCCUUUUUCUUUUCUUUCUUUCUCUUUUCUUCUUUCUUUCAAGCCGAUUCUCUUUCUUUCUUCCCUCUCAACUUUUCCUCUCCUUUCGGAUGGACACUUCACAAAGCCAUUUCCUCUUCAUUUCCCUUCCAAAUGGGUAGCCCUCUCAAGGCAAACUCACUUGUUUGCUCUUUCUUUGAUAUGGGCAGAUAUCACAAGAAAUGAGUUUGGAAUAGCCUUGUGAAAGCCUUCUUUUCCUUUCCUUUUCUUUCAUGGGCGGAUUGCCCAAGGCUUAUCAACUUUUGGUAUUUUUCUUUACAUGUCAUGCCAUUCAAUUCCUCACUUUGUUAUUAAUGCCACUUUCCAUUGGUGGCUUGUGCAUGCAAGGUUUCCUUUUAUGCACCACCUUAUUCCUCCAAUCACAUUUCAUGCACAAGCUUCACUUUAUAUUUUAUUUGGUCACUUAUUAAACCAUUCAAGUCACAUGCAUCCCACAUCUUUCUUUCCUCAUUAAGCCAUCUGAUGCACCGAUCUUAUUACAUGCACAGAAACUUAGUCUUAUUCUUCUUUUUACUUCACAUGAUGGGGGUCUCACAUGUUCCUCACUAACUUCUCUUUUUUGCAUGCUAUAAUUUGCAUGUAAUAGUAAAUUCACAUGCACAUCUCAUUAUGCCACAUAAUCUAACUUUCUUUGGUUAGUUAAUUUUUAUUUAACUCUAAAUAUUGAAAUUAUGCAUAAGUCCUCAAACUUUUCCUUAUUUACCAUGUGCCCCUCCAAACUUUUCAUCCUUUACAAUUUGGUCCUUCCAACAUUUAUUUAAUUCCUAUUUCCUUCUAUUUUCCUUCCUUCACACUAGUACAAAUAGAAUAUAAAAUUUGUAGUUCACCAAGGUGUCACCAUAAUAUUUAAAUAUAUACUUACCCGUUCUUACUCUAUUUAAUAAAGGCACGUGGGCCCCACUAAUAUCGUUUUUCUUCAAAAUUCUUUCUUGCUUCUUCUCCCCCAUUUAGAUUAGUCAUAUAACACUCCUCUAUGACUAAUCUCAACAAUAGAUAAAAUAUUAAUAUUUUAAUAUUAUUUUAUUCAUAAAAUAUUAUUUUAUUCUAAAUAUUCUUUUCACAUGUUAUUGCUCUUUGGGACUUAAAUUUAUGACAAUUAACCAUUUGUCUUAUUGAUAAGGUCUUAUUGGCUUCUAUACAAGGGUACGAGGUGUUACAGUCUCCCCUACUUAAAACAAAUUUGUCCUUGAAUUUAAAUAAAGUGGGUUGGUAAGGCUUACCUUAGUCUCAAAAGAGGUGUGGGUAUUUCUUCUUCAUUUCCUCUUUGGGUUCCUUGGUUGCCUUUUCCACUGAUCAACUUUGCCACAAGAUCUUUAUUGAGGCAACUUCUUUAGAGCACAAUUGCUUCACUUGUCGAUAUAAUAUUGCUACUAGUUGCUCUUCAAAAGUUAAUCCUUCAUCCAAUGUAACCAAAUCAUAUCGUAUAACAUGUGUCGGGUCCUUAACAUGCUUUCUCAACAUAGACACAUGAAAAGUGGGAUUCACACGAGCUAGCUCCAUGGACAAAGCUAAUCGAUAUGCUGUUAACCCAAUUCGUUCUAAGAUCUCGAAAGGUCCAAUAUAUCUCAGACUCAACUUCCCUUUCUUUCCGAAUCUUUUACUUUGUUUCAAUGGAGACACCUUUAAAAUACAAAAUCUCCCACUUGAAACUCUAAAGGGCGACACGUAUUAUUUACAUAAGGCUUCUGUUUACUCUAAUCCAACUUUAGACAUUCCCUCACCAAACUUACCACUUCGAUUGCUUGUUGCACCAAAUCAGGACCUAAUAAUUUCCUUUCUCCCACUUCAAACCAUCCAAUGGGUGAUCUACACUUUCGCCCACACAACACUUCAAAAGGAGCCAUUCCAAUACUGGCUUGGUAGUUGUUAUUAUAUGCGAAUUUCUCCAAAGAUAACUAUUGAUUCCACGUGGUUCCCAAAUUCAACACUAUUGACCUUAGCAUGUCUUCAAGCAUUUGUGUCACACGUUCUGACUAACCAUCUAUUUGAGGAUUAUUACAGUACUACAAUCUAAACGAGUGCCUAAAGCUUCAUCUAAACUUCUCCAAAACUUAUUGGUAAACUGUGGCCUUCGAUCAGAUACUAUGGUCAUGGGAACUCCAUGCAAUCGCAUGAUAUAGUCAAUGUAAACCUUGGCAUAUUUACCUGACCCAUAGUUAGUCUUUACAGGAAUAAAGUAAGCAGAUUUGGUCAAUCAAUCCACUAUUACCCAAAUCGAAUCAUAUCCCCCUCUGACACGGGAUAAUCCAGUCACAAAAUCCAUAACCACAUGUUUCCUUUUCCAUUCGGGAAUUGACAGGGGUUGUAGCAAACCUAGGGGUUUCCCAUGUUCAGCCUUAACUUGUUGACAAGUUAGGCACUUGGCUACAUAUUUAGCUACAUCUUUCUCCAUGCCUGGCCACCAAUAAACCAUUUUCAAAUCAUGAUACAUCUUUGUGGCUCUUGAAUGUACAGUGUAGGCAGUAAUGUGAGCUUCCUUUAAAAUCUCUUCCCUCAAGUUAUCUCGAUCUGGUACAUACGUUUGGAAUUCAUAUUUCAACAAUCCAUUAUCUCCAUACAAAAAAUUCUGAUCUCGCUCUUCAGAUCCUAAGAUUCUUAUCACAAAUUCAUCUUGAUCCUGAGCAUCGUGAAUUCGAUCCAAGAUCAUUGGUUGUACUCGAAAAUGAGCAAUAAGGACAUUAGGCCCACAAAUAUCAAUCUUAACCCCAUACAGCAUAAGCUUUUCCAUUUGCACACUAUACUUCUUCAUUCAACAGACUAAUGUGCCAAACUCCCCAUAGACUUUCGACUCAAAGCAUCAGCUACUACGUUCACCUUACUAGGGUGAUAUUGAAUGGUGCAAUCGUAAUCCUUGAGCAAUUCCAUCCAUCGGCAUUGCCUUAAAUUAAGAUCACGUUGUAGAAAUAUAGACUUUAAACUCUUAUGGUCAGUAUAUAUUUCAAAGCUUUCUUCGUAUAGAUAAUGACGCCAAAUCUUUAAUGUAAAUACUAUCACUGCCAUCUCCAAGUCAUGAGUAGGAUAGUUUUGCUCAUGCCUCUUGAGUUGCCUUGAAACGUACGCACUAACUCUACCAUUUUGCAUCAACACACAUCCCAAUCCAACUCUCGAUGCAUCACAAUACACAACUUAACCUCCUGUACCAUUUGGUAAACUUAAGACUGGUGUCAAAAUCAAACACUCUUUCAAUCUUAAGAAACUAUCUUCACAUUCAUCAGUCCAUUCAAAUUUAGCUCCCUUUCGCAUCAACUUUGUCAAUAGUUCUGUGAUUUUUGAGAAAUCCUGCACAAAUCGACGAUAAUACUCGACCAAUCCAAGAAAACUUUGAACCUCGAUAAUUGUUCUCGAUCUUAACCAAGCUUGAAUCGAUGCAAUCUUUUUUGGAUCCACACUAAUCCCUUCCUUCGAUAUCACAUGUUCGAGAAAGCUAACACUCUCUAACCAAAAAGCGCACUUAGAGAACUUUGCAUACAAUUCAUGUUCUCGAAGUGUCUGCAACACCAUUCGUAAAUGUUGUGCAUGUUCUUUGGGGCUCUAAGAAUACACCAAGAUAUCAUCGAUAAACACCACCACAAAUCUAUCCAAAUAGGUCUAAAACACUCUAAUCAUUAAAUCAAUGAAAGCUGCGGGAGCAUUAGUUAAGCCAAAGGACAUUACCAAAAACUCAAAAUGCCCGUACCUCAUACGGAAUGCUGUUUUUGGUAUAUCCUCUUCCCGAAUUCUUAACUGAUGAUACCCAAAGCAUAAAUCAAUUUUUCAAAAAUAUCGUGCCCCUUGUAGUUGAUAGAAUAAAUCAUCGAUCUUGGGAAGUGGGUAUUUAUUCUUAAUAGUCACACUAUUCAACUUCUGAUAAUCCACACAUAACCUCAAGCUUCCAUCCUUUUUCUUUACAAAUAAUACCAGAGCUUCCCAGGGUGAAGUACUUGAUGAAUAAAUCCCUUUUCCCCUAACUCUUGCAAUUGCUAUCGCAGUACUCACAUCUCUACUAGUGUUAUUCGAUAAGGAACUUUAGAUAUUGGUUCCGUGUCAGGAAUCUGUUGGCUCCAUUAGUUUUUGAUGAUAAUAAAAAUUUCCAUUCAUUUGUGUAUUGAGAAACAUAAAAGACUUAGUCAACUAAGAAAUGGGUUAGUCAACUAAGAGUCUACUGUCAAAAAUCUAGACUUCAAGACAGAACCAACUUAAUCGACUAAGAAGGAAGUUAGUCGACUAAGUACUCACUGCCAGAAGUACAGAUCAAAAGACAGAAACAACUUAGUCGAGUAAGAUAUUAGUUAGUCGACUAAGAGCAUUCUGCCAGAAAAUUUUAAUUGUGCACUAGAAGAUAGAUUAACGGUUAGAACUGCAACAAAACUAUAUCCAAUGGUCAAAAACUACCUAACACCUAUCAGAGUUGAUUUUCCAAGUAUUUAAAAGCCUUCCAAUAGCGAGAAAUGUACUUUAGGCUUCCAAGAACAAAAAGAGCUCAAAAACCAAAAAAUACUCUCUGCUCAUUUAUUGCACUCAACUUUUAUCUUUGUAAUUGUGAUAUGCACUUCACUUUGUACCACUUAGAUCAACCUUGUGAUCAUAGGUACACUCUUAUCACUUCUCUCCUUGUAGUCUUAGAGUGAGCAAGUCACUUUAAGGGAUUGAUUCAAGCUAGGAUUGCUUGAUUGAGCAUAGGUUCUAACUUUUCCUUGAAAAGGUAGGUGUUGGGUUUUAGUUGAUCCCGGUAAAAAAUAUUGUGAAAGGUUUUGGCUAAGCUUGGUAAAAUCCAUUGUAAAAGCUUGGUGAAAGCUUGUGAAUUUCACUGUUAUUAGUGGAUUGAUUGGAAAAUCCUUGGUUAAACAAUCAAGGUAGUGGAUGUAGGUUUUGGACCGAACCAUUAUAAAUUCUUGUAUGAUUGUGUGCUCUGUUUUUAGUUUUUCAUUCAUUCUUAAUUCUUUCUUUUAUCUUGCAUUUGUCCCCAAUUAGAAGUCAAUUUUCGUAAGAGUCAAAAAGUGCUAUUCACCCCCCCUUAGCACAUUUACUUGGGACCAACAAGUGGUAUUUGAGCAAGUUCCCUGAUCUUAAGGUCUAACACCCUUUGGGAAGAUCCAAAUGGCUCUUCAAAAAUUAGUAGUGGCUGAAGGACAAUCAACAAACAGACCACCUCUAUUUGAUGUCUCAAAUUACCCUUAUUGGAGUACUAGGAUGUCAAUAUAUAUUAGGGCAAUUGAUUAUGAGAUGUGGGACAUCAUAACUGAUGAACCAUUCAUUCCCUCAACUUUAAAUGUAGUGACCAACGAGAUGAUCCCUAAGCCAAGGUUUGAAUGGACCGAGGUUGAAACCAUAAAGGUCUAAACCAAUUUUAAGGCAAUCAAUACAUUGCAUUGUGCUCUAACUCCCACCGAAUUCAGCAAAGUAUCAAGCUGUACAACAGCAAAAUAGGUGUGCGAUAAGCUUAGGAUUAUCUAUGAAGGGACUUCUCAAGUCAAGGAGUCCAAGAUAGCCCUCUUGACCCACAAUUUGAAAUGUUUAAGAUAGAGCUUGGUGAAGAUAUCACCAGCAUGCUAAAUAGAUUCACAAACAUCACAAACAAACUAAGUCAGCUAGUCAAACCAAUAACCGAGCAUGAAAAUGUUAAAAGACUUCUUAGAAGCCUACUCAAGAAUUAGAAGCCUAGGUGACAUCCAUCAAAGAAGCCAAGGACUUAAAUGUUAUAACUUUGGAUGAAAUUUGUGGUUCUCUCCUUAAAUGUUAUAACUUUGGAUGAAAUUUGUGGUUUUCUCCUUACUCAUGAGCUAGAACUCAAGGAAGAGGAAGAAGAAGAUAGAAGGGAAGUAAAAGUAAAGAAGAAGAGCAUCGCCUUAAAAGUCAGCAUUCUUGAAGAAGAACUGGACGAGCUAUCCUAUGAUGAUGAUGAAGAAUUGGCACUAGUUGCAAGGAGAUUCAGAAAGCUUAUGGGCCAAAGGAACCGGAGAUUGGCAAAAAGAGGGUUUAGAAGAGAUCAAGGUUUUUCAUGGAGAAUAAGAAAUAAAAAUGACUCCAAUAAAAAGGAAGAGCUUACAUGCUUCGAAUGCAAGAAGCUUGGACAUUUCAAGUCUGAAUGCCCCUUGUUGAAAGAAUAAACUUCAAAGAAAAACAAGAAAUCAAAGAAGGGAAUGGUGGCAGCUACUUGGUCAGAUAGUGAUACUUCAAGUUCUGAAGCCGAGGAAGAAAAAGCUAAAGAAAGAGCAAACUUGUGUUUGAUGGCAUGGGAUGAUGAAUCUGAGGUAUCCUCAUCCCCUUGCAAUAUUUCUGUUGAUGAACUUCAGGAUGAAUAUGAAUGUUUAUAUGAUGAAUUUGAGAAACUUGUUUUGAAAUACAAGACUUUAAAGAAAAAGUCUGCAUCUCUAGAAUCUGAUUUGGAAAAUAUUAAACUUGACUUUGAUUCUGUUUUUGAACAAAAAACAUUUCUACAAAUUGAAUUGGAACAUUCAAAAACAAAUUUUGAAACUCUAAAAUUGGAAUUGGAAAGCAAAACUGAAGCCUUACAAAAGGUAAGUGAAGAAAAUGUUGCACUCAAAUGUUUAAAAAAUGAAACUCCAAAAAGAAAUGCAUGCUUCAAGAAGAAUUCCAUUAAGGCAUCAUCUAGGUGUUAUAUUUGUGAUAGAAUUGGUCAUCUAUCCUAUGAUUGCUGUAGAAAAAGAAAUGUGUAGAAAAUUAAAAAAAUUUGGAUUUUAAAAGGAUCCUUUGUUGUUGCUAACAAUCAAGGACCCAUCAAGGUAUGGGUACUUGUUAAGAAAAAGUGAUAAUUUGUUUUGUAGGUUGAGCUGAAUCUAAAAGACACAUGUUCAAGAGCUCAACUAAAGAAAAAAGAACCAUGGUUUAUGGACAGUGGCUGCUCAAGGCACAUGACUGGAAAUGAAAUGCUGUUUGCUUAGCUAGACAAGAAAAAAAGAGGUACCGUUUCCUUUGGUGAUGAUUUAAAAGGUAGAAUUCAUGGCAUAGGAAUGGUUGGUAAGAACGCCCAAAGUCAAAUUAGUCAUGUGUUAUUGGUUAAAGGUUUGAAACAUAAUUUAUUAAGUUUUAGCCAAUUGUGUGACAAAGGUUUUAAGGUAUGUUUUAACUCAACUAAAUGUGAAGUGAUAGAUAUAAGUACUAACAAAGUCUCAUUUAUAGGAAAAAGAAUAAAGAAUAUGUAUGUUGUAUUUCUUGAGAAUCUUGAAAUGGAUUGUGAAACAUGUCUUGUAGCAAAAGUUGAAAAUGAUGGCCAGCUAUGGCAUAGGAGAGUUGGACAUGUAAGCAUACAUACCAUGUCAAAGUUAAUUAAGAAAAAUCUGGUUAUAGGAUUGCCUAAGCUUAAACUUGAGGAUGAUCAAAUCUGUGAUGCGUGUCAAUUAGGUAAACAAACUAGAACAUCUUUUAAAAUCAAGAAAGUUGUCCCCACAUCUAGACCUCUUGAAUUGCUGCACAUUGAUCUAUUUGGUCCAAUAAGUACAGCUAGUUUAGUAGGAAAAUCUUAUGGCUUUGUAAUAGUUGAUGACUACUCUAGGUUCACUUGGGUUUAUUUUCUUGCUCAUAAGAAUGAUGCUUUACGAGCAUUUAUAAGUCAUUGUAGAAAGGUUGAAAAUGAAAAAGGACUAGCUAUAGUUAGUAUUAGGAGUGAUCAUGGAAGUGAGUUUGAAGGAGAUGAAUUUAAGAAUUUUUGUAAUGAAAAGGGGUUGAAUCAUAAUUUUUUUGCACCUAAAACACCCUAGCAAAAUGGAAUUGUAGAAAGGAAAAACUGAACCUUGAAAGAAAUGGCUUGAACUAUGCUAUGUGAGAAUAAUCUACCUAAAUACUUUUGGGCAGAAGCUGUUAACACAACAACUUAUAUUCUUAAUAGAGUGCCUAUAAGAGCCAUGAUAUCAAAGACCCCAUAUGAGCUAUACAAAGGUAGGAAAACAAAUAUCUCUCACCUUAGGAGCUUUGGCUAUAAAUGCUUUGUGUUGAAUAAUGGAAAAUAGCCUUUAGGAAAGUUUGAUGCAAAGAAUGAUGAAGCUAUAUUUCUAGGAUAUGUAUUAAACUCCCAAAUUUGAUGGAGCCCAAUUAGUAGGUACUCUAAAUGGAUCUCUUUCUGGAUUAUUAAGUUCAGGACACCAUCGGCUUUCAGCAGUGAAAUCUAUUGGUCCCUCACUAACACUUUGUGAAACAUCAGAAUCAUUGUCCCCCCUAGACAUGUUAAGUGUAAUCCAACACACUUCAAAACCUAUGUGAAAUCAAAUGACAAUCACUUAAUCUCUUAUACACCCUGAAAACAAACGAGUCUCUAUAUGUAGACUCAUGCAUUCUAUUCGACUUAACUUAACUCGGGCCACGUAGUGUCAGUGCGGAUUUCUCAAAAUAAUUUUAAACCAAAUAUUUUGAUUUUUAAACCCAAAAUCAUGCUCUGAUACCAACUUAAUUGUCACGACCCAAAACUCCCAUCGAGCCAGUGACAACCGCCACGAAGUCUCGUUAGACAUUCUUUACCUCGAAUGCUGAACGAAACCUCGUAAGGCUUUCGUAUCAGUUUUCUUACCUCCCCUGUGAUCGACAGUAACUAAAAUCGUGUUUUGCAACGAUGUGGACCAUUUUCCCAUCCAAAAACAAUGAAAUUUUAUUUCUGUCUCAUGAGGGUAUUUUAGUCAUUUUUUUUCUUUUCUUUUCCGAAAAUUUUGAAAUCUGUAAAAAUAUAAUAUGUAAGUGGAAACACAUAUUUCAUGAUUUAAAUUAAAUUUUGAAGUCUAAAACAUUCGUUUAAAGUAAAAUUAUAACCAUUUGAAUAUAAUAAAAAUAUUAAAUAAAAUAUUAUACUUUCUUAAAACACAAUAUUUUCAAAGUCUUCCUAAAAUAACUUUUGUAGCGUAAGAGUAAAAUAAAUUUAUUCAUAUAGUAAUAAAGAUAAUUAAAGUAUGAAAUUUCGUUUAUAGUGAUAAGUGGGCCCCUAACUGACUAAGAAGGUGUAGGGCUACGAACCCUUACUUUCUAGGAUGCAACUCCGAGAUUAAUUUUCGUCUUAAUCAACUAUCAACAAACUAUCCUUAGCCUGAAAAAUGGAUAGGAAGAGGGGUGAGAUUACAUAAUCCCAGUGAGUAAACAAUUACCAAGAAAAACAUUUAAAGCCGAGUAGAUGGAGACAAUAUAAAAACGUUAUAUCUUAAUAAUGUUCAUAACGCAAAAUUCGUUUCAAUCUAUACCAAACAAUUUCUUUUCAUCAAAAUUUCCCGGCUUAUGAAUUUCUUAAACUUGGCCCCUGCCAGAAUCAUUCUCGCGGGUACCUUCAUCAAGUUAUCCCACUGAGACCGCCAAGGCUGUUAAAUGUCCCAUACCCAUAAACAUGUUUUCACAUUUGACACACAGUCGUUCCUUAGCGUUGGCUGAGUCUCACUCUCACGUGGUGGCCUGAACGUGAGGUGCACUCAAAUCUUACCUCAGGAGAUACUUCAUCCAACAUCUCCCCCCUGAGGUAAAUAUAUAAUUGGGUUAUCGUACCCCUCUCAUAGGCAGUCCACGGAAACCCCCACCACUGUAGUGACCGUUUAAUAUACCACCAGACCCAUAAAAUUUUCAGUAGCAUAAUAUGGCGAAUAAAAUGUAAUCUAGUCUACCGAGACCAAUCCAAAAC